rnacentral:lncRNA from 1 species
GCGUGGCACGUUAAUAUCUCUAUGUAAUCCCGACGUGUGGGCCUUUCUUUCGUAUUUCCUGAUAACCCCCUGCAGAAAUAGACAAACACCAAAACUCGUGGAAUUCUGUCAGAUAAAACCCUAAGUCUAGAUGUUGAUUUCAUUUGGAUCCUUUUCUUUGUUUAUUUGAUAAUUAAAUUUGAUACAUAAGGACCGUCAACAAACUCCCCCAAGCUUACCUCUUGCUCGUCCGUGAGCAAGGAUAGACUCAGCUAUGGAUCAUAGGUUGUUGCAAUAUCUUAAAAAUUGACGGUACACAUGCUUUUUUAAAUAAGAUCUCAUCUCCGAGUUAGAGUAAACUGUCAAGACUUAAAACUUACUUACUUUACCUUCACCAUGGGACUUGUAACUGUCACUUCUGUCUUGAGUAGUUAAAAGAUAGAACAGUCUAGCCAAGUGCCAUGUCUCUUAUUCUUGAUCAGCUAUAGCUCUGGGAUUUUUGCAGAUUUUCAAAUAAAACUCAGAGAUUCCUUGUAUGAUUCUCUCAGAUCUCUCUUUUGUGGUAUUUCUGGAUCCUUACCAAGGCAGUGAUGGUAUAUGCCUUCUCUCAAGAUAUGUGGUAUUUGUGGUAUGAAGCAUAGUGACAUUAUCUUAUCUCUCACCCUACUUCUAAUAAGGCUUUAAUAUCUGGAGCUCAUAGGUGGGAGAUAAAGUAUACAUACUCACAAGACAUUUAUCGUAUAGUCAAACCAUGGAUCCAAAGAAACAAAUCAAUAAGCCAAAUCAAGAUGUGCAUGUGUUGCGAAUGAAUGGUAUAUGGUGAUGAUGGUGAUAACAAUGGUGGAAACAAUGGUGGUGGAAGUCUAAUUCUACUUUGCUCUUUUGAGGGGAUAAUACCUUCCUUGCUUUUUGAAACUUUAUGAGGAGAAUGAGAUGCUCUUCUUUUUCUUUCCUCUCAGGUGGGUAUCUUGUACCCCUAAUUCUACUAUCGGACACUUGUCCAUUUUUACCUCUCGUCUUACUUUUUUUCUUUUCUUUCGAGGUUCCGAGCACUUGCUCCUUUUUAUUUCCUCGUAUUUUUUCUUUUUUUUAGAGCACUCAUCUCUUGAGAUAAUAUAGCAAGUGGUAGUAACAAGAUAACUUGAGCAUUUAUUUCACAAGGGAAAACAGAAAUAUUUUUGGUUAUUCUCUCCCGGAUUAGGAGUAGAAUAUUUUUGGGUGAUUCUGGAGAUAGAAAUGAGUGGAUAUAUGUGGAUGGUACUUCCGGAGUAGAAGUAGCAUAUAUGAGUGAACGUGCAAGUGAAAUCUUGAUUUAACCACAUGACAAGCUUCUAAGGGUCUACACAGCUUGACCACACUCAAUGCUCAUAAGCAGUAAAUAGUAAAUGUGUGGCUCAAAGUCUAGCAAGCAUGUAUAUAUGGCUGUGGUAGGAAUUUAAACUCUCAUCAUACAGGAACUCAUCAUGCAACAUUUUAAAGAUUUUCAAAGAUAAAAUUCUCCAGAAUUCUAGCAUCUCUAGGAACAGAUAAACAACAGCUCAACCUUCCCAUAUCGUAUCCGUUAACAACUUAGACUUUAGAUCAAGUUUUCAUUCCACAAGUUUAGGUCUAGAGCAAGCUUUAAAUUAUAACAGUUAUGUCUAAACUUGAGAGAGAACUUAAAAUGUUCAAAUUAGGUAGAGCAACUAUUCAUCAUAUCCAUGCUUGAGUUUUAUUUAGAUACAGAUUAGCAUAGCCACUUUAUUUAUUUAUUAAACACACUAAGCAAAAGAUAUAUAUAUAAGCAUAAAAUCCUUAUUUGAUUUUUCCAUAGUUAUGUAUAUUUAUAUUCUAAAAUAAUAUAAGUAUAAAGAUAGACAGAUAGAAAUACUUAUCGAGAUAAAUGGGGGUGCUCUCCCCCAAGCUGAAUUUUGACGUAAUUUCUCUUCAUGUAGCUAGCAGGUGGCAGAAGUGUAUUUGAAAGUCAGCAGCAUUCUGACAGCGAUUAGAAUGUCCUCCGUCUGCUAGUCUUCUUACAUUCUGUGGAGCUCAAAUAGACAACAAAGCUUGUGGAACUGAUUAAGUGUUAGCAUAAAUAUCUAGCCUUUAUCAUGUUGAGACUCCUUAAUUAUUACUCUCUGUUUUUAUAUUUUUAUUUUAUAAAGCAGAAAAAUAUUUAUUUUAUUUUUAUGCCACCACAGUGAAUGUGCUUAUGAGUUUUAUGCCACUCGUAUACUCACAUGGGGCUUACUGUUUUUUUAUAUUUUUAUUUUCUUUUAUUUUUAAGAUAGUAUGAAUAUGAUAAACUAAGUAAACUAUUUAAAAUAAUUGAAAGGGAAAGGAUAACUACCAAGUUUACCUCUUGGCAAAACGUUCGGUGUUUUUAAGUCCUCCGAACAGGACUCUCCAUUUUUUUCAAUUGUCCUGAGGUUCGUUGGGAGGCGUAGUCGGUACUUCCGGCGGCGCCUCCUCUUCAUGUAUAAUUAUCUUCUCUUUCCAUACCUGACUCGGUGCUUUGGUCUCCUCUGGAUAAUUCUGUUUAAACUCUACGUCUUCUGACCUUACAACUUCUCCUUCAUAGUCUGCCCAUCCAUCCUUGAUGAUCUGCCUCCUCUGGUUGCGGUUGCGUCGUUUCCUGACCUGCUUAGAUUCUUCAACGAUAUAGUUAGGGUCAGUAAAAUAACGGCGUACCUUCUCUGAGGGGAAGUGCAUAUGGACUUCUCCGGUUUCAAUGUAGAUAAUUGCUUUAACGGUGCUGAGGAACGGUCUUCCAAGGAUGAUGGGUGGAUCAUACUCAUCUUCUCCUAUGUCAAUAACCUGAAAGUCUGUGUAGACAAAGUGAUCGUCUAUUUUGACUGGGACAUCAGUUACUAUUCCUUUAACUUCUCAAAAUGUCUGAUCUGCCAUCUGGAGCUGAAUGUAUGUUGGUCUUAGUGGCAUGGUUCUGAACAAGAGCUGAUAGGUGACUGCGGCCAUUAUGUUGACGCCCGAUCCGGUGUCACAAGUCGUCUGGUAGAAGUUGUAUCCAUUUAUGGAGCAGUAAAUGCUUGGCGUUCCUGGGUCAUCCUUCUUGGUCAAAAGCGGUGACUUAAGUUGGUGAUCUUGGCCUCCAUGAACUACAGUGACCAUCUUAGCUGACUCGGUCCACACUUGCUUGUUCCUGUUCCUCCUGUUGGUCCUCUUCCUUGAUUCACGUCUGGAUUGAUCUGGAAUUUGUGUAGUCUUGUUCUUGAAGAAAAAUGUCUCCUUUCUCCCUUUGACGUAGAAACUGAUCUUGGCAGCACUAGCGUAGAUGAUAGCUCCCGUGGUGUUUAAGAAUGGCCUCCCUAGGAUGAUAGGUGCUCUCUCAUCAUUUCCAGUCUCUACCACUACGAAGUCUGCUAGGGCAUACAAGGUACCAACUCGGACGCAAAGGUUCUUCAAUAUUCCUUUUGGAAAAGUUAUCGUCUGAUAUGCAAACUGUAAACACAUGGUUGUUUCUAAUAAAGGAUAUGUAAAGAAUUUUUUAUGGAGUACCCUAGGUAUAAUGUUGACACUAGAGCCAAAGUCACAGAGUACUUCUGGAACGUCCACCAUGCCGAUGGAGAUCGGGAUGACGGGGCGUCCUGGAUCGCCUCUCUUGACCGGCAGGAGGUCAGUAGAGAAUUUAGUGACGGGGUUACUCCAAUUACUACCUGCAUCAAACAUGUCUACAAGAUUUGCAGAUUCUAAUCCUUCCGGUUGUGAUGGUAUACCGGGGUUAGUAGUAGGAACAGCAACAGCUAUUUGAUUUAACAGGGAUUCAAUCAUUUUAUUAAAGCUAAUUUGAUUCUUGAUGGCAGUAGAGAAAUUAUCCAUUCUAUUAUUUAUAUUUUCUAGCAUUUUAUCAUUAGAUGCCAAUUUCUUAGAUAGGUUAUCCACUAGCUUUCCUUGAUUAGACACUAACUCUCUUAGAGGUGGAAAAUUAUUAUUAUUGUUGUAAGAAUUGUUACCAUGAUAAUUACCUGAGUAGUUAGGCCUCUGUUGAUUCCAACCUUGAUUUUGUUGAGGACUGUUUUAGUAGUUGUUGUUGUUAUUGUUGAUGUAGUUCACAUCCUCAAGCAUCUCAGGGCAGUGGUUGCCUGAGUGUCUAGUAUCUCCACACUCCUCACAAGUCAUGUGAGAGUCGUAGAUGUGCAUUCUUUCUUGUCUCCGGCUCUAUCGUCGAGCUUCUUCAUGAGCAGGUCUAGCUUUGCAGACAGCAUGUCUACCUCCUUCAGCUGAUGCAUACCUCCACCUCUCUUGCGUGUCUGGGUCCUCUCUUCAUUCUAGCUUUGAUUGGACACCAUCUUCUCCACAAGAGCUGUGGCUUGUGGUAUAGUAAGUGAUAAGAAUGCUCCUCCAGCUACAGCAUCCAUGGUUUCUCGGGCACUAUUGCCGAGUCCAUGAUAAAAUGUCUGCAUCAAUAGCCAACUCUCCAUUCCAUGAUGGGGACAUUCUAGGAUGUAGUCUUGAAAGCGCUCCCAUGCUUCUGGAACAGAUUCAUCAUUUUGUUGCUGAAAACUUGUAAUCUUCCCACGGAGAGCAUUGGUCUUGCCCAUGGGAAAGAACUUAGCCAGGAAGUUUGUUGAGCAGAGUGCCCACGUAGUAUUCUUCUCCUUUGUAGCGUAGAACCACUGCUUCGCUCUUCCUAACAGUGAGAAUGGGAAGAGGCAAAGUAGUAUAGCAUCUUUGGAAACUCCUGAUAUGGUGAAUGUGUUGCAAAUAUCCAGGAAGUGUUGUAAAUGAGCACUAGCAUCUUCGUGUGCCUUCCCACAGAAUUAGUUGGAUUGCACCAUGUUGAUAAGUCCAGGCUUGAGCUCAAAAUUGCCAUCGAUCUCUGCAGCAGGUCUAGUGCGGAUGUUGUCUGUAGUGGGAGCUGAGAACUCGCGGAUUGAUUUGUUCGCCAUGGCCUCGAACUCUGAAGACAAGUUCCGGUGAUCUUCUUGAUUGGAUGAAGCUUCUUGCUGAAGUGUUGAUGAUCUCUUCUUGAGCUUGGCUCUCGUCUUCUUGAAUAAUGCUUCGGGAUUGUCAACAAAAUUUCCUGGAAGAUGUCUUCUAUUCAUACAUUCCCCUGCAUAAGAUAAAAUAGAAAAAUAUCGGGGUAAAACUGUACGAGAGAAUAGAUAAGCUCAAUCAUAUUAGUGAUGCGAAUGAUAACUCAAAAUCUUUUAUUCCAUUCUUGAUUAGUAAUCAACCUUCCCCGGCAACGGCGCCAAAAAUGCUUGUUGGGUAUUCUUAACAUCAUUACCAAAAGUAGACUAAGUUCUCUAAAUCUAGUAACGGUGCCAAAAAUGCCAAACCUAUCCCUCACACCACUUAAGCCAAGUUGUCAUCCCCAGCAUGACAUGAGAGACGCGGUAUUGAAAUAUGCAAUUGCUCUUCUAAAUAAAUAAUGAAUGGGAUCUGCAAGCGCACAGAUUAAUACCGAUGUAGCAUUUUAACCGGAAAGUAUUCCAGGUAUCGUUAUUUAUAUUUUUACCACUGGGAAGGGAUUAGCAAUUAUCAAUAUUUAUUACAGAAUAGAAUAUGAGAUUGAGCAUCUAUCAUUGCAUGUAUAAUUGAGAACAUUAUAUCUAACUCUUCAUACAGGGAUAAGUGUCACAUAAAAGAUAUAUGAAGUAAUGAAUAGUGACAAAGAUAAUUAGUCUGAUCUAGCCACAUAAUAAAUAUGAUAAGCACCUCAAUUAGAUACUCUAGAAAGUCAUUAGCAUGGUAUUAGAACGAACUACAAGAAUAUUCCCUAAGUUAUUCUCAACUAUAUAGUCUAGCAUUAUCAUAAUUAGUGCAAGCAUACUUAGCAAUCAUUGUGAGACAAGACUACGCCCAUGCAUAGUGAUAUUAGCAAGGAAUAUGAGAAACAUAGCAAUCACUCCCCUGUAAUAAUGUUGCUCUGCCAGCCCAAUACACGAGAGGGGGACUAUAUUAGAAUCAAUGAAGUUGUCACUAUCACGAACUACCCCACGAUCUGGCAUAUUGGGUACAAUCGUAGAUAAAUACGGUAUAAGCACCACGCCUACACAAUAUCUAUCAUUUACCCAUGGAUCCGAUGGAUAAACGCUAUACGAUCCUAAGCAUGUAUAUAGAUCCAAUCUAACUAAGCCAAGUACAUAACUAUGAUAAACUAAGAACAAUAUAAUCUUGAAUAUAAGCAAGUAGAGCAAAGUCAUAAGCAAUAUAUUGAAGUAGAACAAAUUCAUAUUCAUAAUAUUGAAGAACAAAGAUAAUUAGAAAGCAAUUAGAAGCACAAUUAGAGAAUUACCAAGAAUCCUCUUGACAGAUCCGGAAACCAAUCGAAGAUUGACUCCUUCUAGUUGUAAUCCUAUGUAGCUAUGCUAAUCUAGAUAUCUAAUUGAUGUGGUGGCUCUAAUCUUGAUCAGGGGCUUCUUCUCCCUUGAAGAAUAAUGAAUUAGGGUUGAGAGGCUCUCUCCUCCAGGGGCCAGGGGGUCUGGUUUUAUAGUCUCUUCAAGUGAAUAUGGGCCGUUGGAUCAAACCGACAUAGAUUGUAUGGUUUAGAUUCAUCCUUUAGGUUGGUGGAGAUCUCCCACAAAGCAGAGUCCUGAUUGGACUCAGGAGGUCGGCGGGCGCCCUGAUCACCUGGGCGGGCGCCUAGGGUCAGGCCCCGUUUCGCCUCCGCUUCGGUGUCGUGGCUUCUGGAGUCUUCUAGAUGUAAGAUAAUUGCGCGGCACGUUAAUAUCUCUAUGUAAUCCCGACGUGUGGGCUUUUCUUCCGUAUUUCCUGAUAACCCCCUGCAGAAAUAGACAAACACUAAAACUCAUGGAAUUCUGUCAGAUAAAACCCUAAGUCUAGAUGUUGAUUUCAUUUGGAUCCCUUUCUUUGUUUAUUUGAUAAUUAAAUUUGAUACUUAAGGACCGUCAACAAGAACACGCCGAGUUUGACUCGACGAAUUCCUAAGAACUCAUAGUAAAAAUAAAAUAUGACGAAGUCGUCGAAAAGUAGAUGCUAGAAUAUGUGUAAAAACUUGUGUUUGAUUGAUUGAUAGAUAUCUCAUUACAUUGACAUGGGGUAUAAAUUUAUACCCUAUCCCAAAGAACUACAACCAGACACGACUAGAAUUCGAAUUCCAAAUUAAACAGAGUCCGUAUACAAAACGAACUCUAAUAACUAAGGAAAACAUUAAACUAUCCUCCAUAACCGAUCGGUACACUGCCACAAACCAAUCAGUAGACCGCCUUUCCCCGUCAUCGGCAACCAUUAGUACUAGUCAUCGGCAUGACCUCAUCACUACUUCUGAACUUAGCCAUAUUCCAUCGUUUUCCCAUCGGCACCGACCCCAUCGACAAUUCAUCUGCAAAUCAGCCACCACUUUCCUGCCUACUGAUCUACUCCUCAUUAACUCCAGAUACGUAUUCAAAGAUACGUGUCACAAAACGGUGUCAACACAUGCCCCCAAUUUUAGAGUAUAAAAUCAUUAAUGCUUCGAAUUUCUCUUCAGUAAUGACGCCUUUCCGCAAUUACUCCCUUCGAUCGGUAAUUAAUCACCAAAUCUGAACAGCCUCAGCCUGGUCUUACAGCAUGUACCUCGAAUUUCCCAACUUCUCGAACCGAAUGCCCCCAGAAUGCGCUCAUCGGCAAUAUUACCGUUAGAGAAAACUGCCGAUGAACCGACCAGGAGAUCUUGCACAGUAAGAUAUCUUCAAAACCAUGACCGCUUGUUGUCAAAUCACCUGCGCAAUCCCUAGAUUAUCGUGCGAAUAGUUACCAUAUCCACCUGAACAUCCUCGGAUUUUACGGAUGCGGCAAAGAGAUAAGUUAGAUUUGCCCCUACCCACUUUGUCCUAUAAAUACUUCCUUCUCUGGUACUUUUCUUCUAUCCUAUCAUUCUACAGCCUCAUACCCAUCUUUCUGGCGGCGACAUUGCUUGAGAACUUCAAGAACUCCAGCAAGGACCUCCUCCAAUAAUCCUCCGAGUCUUCGAUUCUUUCCUCUCCUCGGGAAGAAAUGGCCAUCAACUUCGUCGUCCCUGAGGUCAACUCACCACUCCCCUUCUCUUUUACACUUUUGUUGUACUCUUGUUCAUCUGUGAAUCUAUUUACUGAGUACUUUUUUCUUCUCUUUGUUCUAUCUCUUUCCUGUUCUUUCAACCAUCAAACCCUUUAGGAAUUAGCCGAUAAGAUCGUGAUUCCUACCGAUCAACCUCACUUCCAGUGUCUCGGUCCAUUGGGAAACCCAGAUCCCACCAAUCUGAUAAAUGCAGAGACAAAUAGGAUCCCUUUUAGAGCCGAGAAUUUCUCUUUAGACCUGUGGAAAGACACUUUCCGUUCUUGGCCUAGUCCUACCAAGGGAUGGAAAGAUUGGUUCCUAAGAAUCGGCAAUUCAAAUGAAGUCCAAUGGGGUGAGCGGAAAUUAGACCAGUGUAUCAGGCUAUCUAUUGCCGAUAUGAAGAGGAACGAGUCGCUGCUGAUAGCCGCUUCAUACUUUUGGUCAGACAUCCUUAAUGCUUUUUGUAUUCGGCCAUGGUCCUGCUUCGCCUACUCUUGCUGACGUACUUAUGCUCACUGGCUUAGAUAUAUCAACUGCCGAUAACAGUCAUCUGUUAGAUAACAAGCCUAGUUCUAAGGUAGAAACUCGCAGUAUCGGCGGUUGGUCUGGGUAUAUUCAGAAGUACCGAAAACAGGAUCUGUUGGGGAAAGGGAACAUGCCAUUUUUCUGAAUAUGUGGCUAGAUAAGUUUGUAUUUUGCGGCCGAUCGGUAGGACCAACUUCUGUUUUCCUAUCGGCAGCAGAAAGAUUAGCCAGCGGUGGUUGUUUUCCCCUUGGCCGAUACCUGUUAGGUUCUGCUUAUCACCUUCUUCACAAAGUUGCCGAGAAGCUUUUGCUAGGCCAACCCAUCGGCAACUUAGGAGAACCCUGGUGGUUUAUCAACAUGUGGCUCAACGUUCACAUGCAUAAGCGCCUCGGAUUCAACCUCUUCUCACAGCGCUUUCCUAGAGACAUAGCCGAAGAUUAUGAAUUGGAUGAUGAAGAAUCGGCAACUCGCCCCCCUUUGAACUAUGGUGAAGCUGCCAUAGUUUUACCUGGUACAGGUGGGAACGAAGACCAGGUCAGCCGAUUCUUCUAGACUCUCUAUGAGGGUCUAGCCAAAGACCAACGGGCAUGGAUGCCUUAUGAGGAUACAGAAACCAGAUUCCCACUCACUUUCCACCCCUUUGAUAAUGCCCUCAACAAGGACCACGAUCAGAUGAUAGCAAUUAUCACUCCGAGAGCGAUACCAGUGAACUUUUUUGGCAGUGGGAAAACCUCGAGCAUCACCUAUGAGUUCUACAAUCCAUCGGCACUGGCUCGUCAACUGGUCUUUGGACAGCUGCCGAUUGCACUCUGCUAUGCUGAUGUGGUGAAGCCAAGGGAGACCAUAACCAGCGGCCUUGAGUGGAUCAGAAUAGCCCAACUCCCACCAAAUGCCGAUACGUCAGACAUUGAUCUAUCGGCCUGGAUCCCAUCUCUCUUCAUUACUCAAGCAUACAAACAGUGGUGGGAGGAGUGGAAAGAGCACCUGUUCUAUAGAUCGGCUCUCACAUACCGCGGCAUGAUCGACCCCAAGUACAAAGUCCCUGAGAAUACUGUAAGUCUUCAACCGAUACUUCAAUCCAUUUAUUACUUUUAUUCUUAUCGGUAACUUACUUCCUCCAUUUAAACAGGUCGACCAUACACCACCGACAGUCAGCAGGAGCGGAAAGCCGAUCGAACUCCUUCCAUCGGGCCCGAUUUCCCUGAUCGGCAACAAUGCACCAAGCCUGGUGGCUUUAAUGCACCGAAACAUGCGUUUCAAGAAGAUCACCACCAGACGAGCAAAGACAUCUCCAUCGAUUGCUGCUACUGCUUUGGCACAAGCUUUCAAGGUAAAUCCCUGACUUCUUCGAUUUAUACCGAUUCCAUUCUAUACUUACACAGUCUUUUCUGGAUACAUCGGCUGCUAUGGGAACUUCAUCGGUAACUUCUGUCUUUUAGCAGAAAUUCUCAUCAACACUCUGUUAUAUUUUAUAAAACCUUUGUUGUUGUAUCAGCAAACUAGCAAAUCGGCAAGGACCAGAAGUACCAAGACAAGUGCCGAUGCCCCCCAAUCCAGCCAAGUCAAGAGAAAAGGCCCCAAAAGCACCAACCUACAAGCAAAACGUCAGAGGACAGCACUACCUUCUUCUCCUCCCCCAGUAUCGCCGAUUCAUGUAGAAUCGUCCCCUUCUUCACCAAAAGUUCAGACACAGCAAGCACCAUCUCCACCUCAGCCACAAGAAGCACCUCAGCCACAAGAGACAUCAAUCGAUGUACUUGAGCAGACCGCCGAUCCAGUGGAUCCAAUCAUAUCAUCGGUGGUCUCCUCGGAAUAGAUAAGUCCUGUGCCUCCUCAAGGUAAAGUACUACCCACAAAAUUAUCACUAAUGGAUUUACUUUUUUCAAUUUAUAAUUAUCUUUAUUAUUUCUUAGUUGACAUCGUUCCAUCGGCAACUCCAGCCGAUCAUCCUAUGGUACCAUCGGCCUCAACUAGUCAAUGGUGAGAAAUAGCUCUGAAACAAGUAAAUCACCUGAUCUUUAUCCCUUAUAUCACUUAAUACUUGAUCAUCAAAUAACUUAUCUCAUUUUUCUCCAGGAACAAGACUCUCCGGACAACUUGUUUUCUUUCGCCAUUGAGAUCUCUGAUGAUGAAGGCGAGGAAGCAAGCUCCUCCCAAGCAAUAGGAAUUUCAUCGGCAGAUAUCAGAGCAAAACUGGAAGAUCUGCUGGCCCUGCUACAUCAAGACACUGCUCAACUGGUCGUUGAUUCUGAUCCAGCCAAGGCUCUGUUCAAAGCUCUUAGGGGUCAAAUCCCUGCCGAUGCCGAAGAGAUCCUUUUCCAGGCUGCACACUUGGAGAGCCGCCAGCUCCAGUACCAAAAGGCUACCCAACGCCUUGCCGAUAGAGCCACCCAUGCCCAACACUCAAAGGAAGUAAUGCAAGUAAAACGCCUUGCCGAUGAGAAGCACAAGAGCAUCGGCAUCCUACAGUCCUCAGGGGAGACACUAAGGCAGAAGAUCUCCGAUCUGUCGGCAAAAAGGGAAGCCCUGCUGGCAGAGCUCAAGCAAGUAGAAGAGUUGAAGCGAAAUGAUCAGCUACCCUUCAGCAAGAAGAAAAUCAGCUACCCGAAAUGAUCAAGACCCUUCAGCAAGAACAAAACAUUCAAGCCCGUAAGGCACUGCAGAUGAAGAAGAAGUUGAAGCCAGUGGAGGGCUCUGCCGAUGAAGACAUCAGGGAGAUAGAAGAAGCCGAUCAAAUUCGUCUGCGUGCCAUAUCGGCUAUCCAAGCCUUGCUGAAUAUAUGAGCUCUCCAUCGGUGGCAUGUCUUGUUCUGCCUUUAGAAACUGCUGACUAUUUUGGUCUAGCCGAUAGGACUGUUAUCGGCAUCCUUUUAAAACAUCAUACUCUAGCCGAUAGGAAUGUUAUCGGCACUUAAACUUUCAUGCAUCGACCCAAAUGCUCGGGUAAUACUUCUUUAAAUACUUUCCAUUUAAAGCUCUAGGAAAUUCAACUCCUUUGAGAGUCUCCAAAAUAUAAGCAUUACCAGGAGCAGACCGAUUUAUCCGAUAAGGACCUUCCCAAUUAGGAGACCAUUUGCCAAACUUUGAACUUUUAGUCUCAAUCGGUAAUAUUAGUUUCCACACCAAAUCUCCAUCGACAAACUCCUUAGCUUUUACUUUUUUAUCAUACCACCUAGCAACUCUCUUUUUAUUUUCUUCUAUACUUAUCAAAGCCCUCAGCCGAUGUCCUGCUAAAUCGUCUAACUCAUCUUUCAUCAAAGUAGCAUAGCCAUCGGCAGCCAACUGGUCUUGAAAAGAUAGUCGCCUAGAUCUGGUCUUAAUUUCCCAUGGUAGCAUUGCAUCGUGCCCAUACACCAACUGAUAAGGUGAAACUUUAGUCGACCCAUGACAUGCCAUCUGAUAUGACCAUAAAGCUUCACUCAACAAUGUAUGCCACCUCCUAGGAUUUUCUUCAAUCUUUCAUUUGAUGAGUUUAAUAAUUCCUUUGUUAGACGCCUCGGCCUGCCCAUUGGCUUGAGCAUAAAGAAGAAGAAUUCAACACUUUAAUCCCCAUACCGAUUGCAAAUUCAUCAAACUCUCCCGAUGUAAACAUGGUACCCUGAUCGGUAGUAAUUGUUUGAGGAAUACCAAAUCGGUAAACAAUAUGCUCUUUCACAAAAUCAAUCAAAUUAGCCGAUGUUACUUUCUUCAAAGGAAUAGCUUCAACCCACUUAGUGAAAUAAUCAGUGGCAACUAAGAUGAACUUAUGCCCUUUGCUUGAUGGCGGGUAAAUCUGGCCGAUUAGAUCAUUAGCCCAUCCCCGGAACGGCCAAGGCUUAAUAAUGGGAUUCAUAGAUGAUGCGGGUGCCCUUUGAAUAUUGCCAAAUUUCUGACAUUCUUGACACCCUUUGAAAUAUUUAAAGCAAUCCUUGAGUAUAGUCGGCCAAUAAUACCCGUUUUUCCUAAUCAUCCAUUUCAUCUUAAAAGCCGACUGAUGCGCUCCACACACUCCUUCAUGGAUUUCACCCAUCAAACUUUUAGCCUCAUCAUCACCUAAGCACUUGAGAAGAACUCCAUCUAUUGUUCGAUAAUAAAGCUCAUCCCCAAGGAGUACAUACUUGGUAGCUUGAAGCCUGACACGCCUCUCAACCUUUUUAGAUGGAUCUUUUAAAUAAUCAAUGAUCUCCUUUCUCCAAUCAUCGGCACCGAUUGUCGAUAACGUGUUUAAUAUGGGUUGAUAUCUCGAGGCAUGUGGAGCCAACCGAUUAGCCUCUUCAUUAUGUAAUCAAGGAACAUGCACUAAUCGGAAAUCCUUGAAUUCCUUUAAUAGCUGCAUACUCUUUUCAUAAUAGGUUAUCAUCUCGCUUUGGCAUUCAUAAAUUCCAGCCAGUUGAUUUAUAACAAGCAUAGAAUCACCAAAGAUUUCAACAGCAUCAGCAUGAACCUCUUUUAACAAUUCCAACCCUUUGAUCAAAGCUUGAUAUUCAGCUUGAUUAUUUGUUGACGUGGCAACAAUCGGCAAAGAAAACUCAUACUUCUUUCCCUGAGGAGAAACUAAUACUAUACCGAUUCCUGCCCCCCGGUCACACGUAGAUCCAUCAAAGAAGAGCGUCCAAGGAACAAUUUCCAAAGUCCCAACUACACAACAAUGCUAGGUCACAAAAUCGGCCAUAAUCUGCCCUUUAACUGCCUUAGCCGAUUCGUAACGUAGAUCAAAUUCCAACAGUGCCAAAAUCCAUUUACCGAUUCUACGACUCAUAAUCGGCAUAGAUAGCAUGUAUCGGACUACAUCAUCUUUGCAUAUAACAGUGCAUUCGGCCGAUAGCAAAUAAUGUCUCAACUUAACACAUGAAAAGUAUAAGCACAAACAUAACUUUUCAAUUGCCGAAUACCUGGUCCCAGCGUCAAUCAGUCUUCUACUUAAAUAAUAAAUCACACACUCGUUCCCUUCAAAUUCUUGAAUCAAAGCCGAACCGAUGACCAUCCCAUCGGUAGACAAAUAUAAUUUGAAAGGCUUCCCUUGCUGAGGUGGAAUCAGGACUGGAGGAUUUGUUAAAUAAUUCUUGAUUUCAUCCAAAGCUGAUUGUUGCUCUUUUCCCCACACAAACUCUUGAUCGGCUUUCAAUUUAAGUAAAGGACUAAAAACACGAAUUUUACCAGACAAAUUAGAUAUAAACCGCCUGAUAAAAUUUAUCUUGCCGAUCAAAGACUGGAGUUCAGUUUUGUUGGUAGGAGCAACUAUUUUGUUAAUGACAUCAAUAGAUCUCCUACUAAUUUCAAUUCCUCUCUGAUGCACCAUGAAACCAAGAAAUUGCCCUGCCGAUACACCAAAUGCACACUUGGUAGGAUUUAUCUUCAACCCAUGUUUCCUUGUGCACUCCAACACCUUUUGCAGAUUGGCAAGAUGCUUUGUGAAAUCCCCAGACUUAACCACCACAUCAUCAAUGUAAAUCUCUACCAGCUUGCCGAUGAGCUCAAGAAAGAUAAAAUUCAUAGCCCUCUGAUAAGUAGCACCAGUGUUUUUCAAACCAAAGGUCAUGACUGUCCACUCAAACAACUCAACAUGACCAGAACAUCUAAACGCGGAUUUUGAAAUAUCUUCUUCAGCCAUGAAUAUCCUGUAUUGCCAUCCAUAAAGCUAAUGAUCCAAUGUCCAGCCACAACAUCAACUAGCAAAUCGGCAACUGGCAUUGGAUAACCAUCCAUCGGCGUAGCCUUGUUAAGAUUCCUGAAAUCAAUGCAGACUCGAAGCUUCCCAUUUUUCUUAUAAACUGGAACGACAUUGGAGAUCCACUCGGCAUACCGACAUUGCCGAAUAAAUUUAGCUUCGAUAAGUUUAGUUAUUUCGGCCUUAAUAUCAGGAAGAAUAUUAGGACUACAUCGGCGAGCUGGCUGCUGAUGUGGCCGAAAUCCAGAUUUGAUAGGUAACCGAUGUUCGACAAUAGAUCGGUCCAAACCAGGCAUCUCGGUAUAAUCCCAAGCAAAGCAAUCUUUAUAUUCCUUUAACAAAUCAGUUAACUGUUGCUUACACUCAGAAUCUAACUUAGCACUAAUAAACGUAUGCCUAGGCCUAUUACCAUUACCUAUAUCUACUUCCACUAAAUUGUCGGCCGAUGUAAAUCCUUGGCCUAAUUUUCCAUCAUCGGCGAACAUAUCCAUUAAAACUCUUCAUCAGAACCGACUGCUUGGAUCGGUGGAAUUUCGUAAUCGGCAACCUUGAGAAAAUCCUUCUCCUAAAUUUCUCUCGAGAUGCAUCUAGUUCUUUCAUAAGUAUCUGCCUCUGCCGUUGCUAUGACAUACGAAGAAUCCCCUAGGACAAUCUCAAUGUUGUCACGUACCAACUGAACCAAACACUGGUGCAUUGUAGAUGGGAUACAACAAUUAGCAUGGAUCUCCCCAAUAGUAGAUUAUAAGCACCCUUUCCACCGAUGACGAAGAAUGUUGUCGGCAAGGUUUUGCUGCCGAUAGUCAACUCAACACAUAUGGCUCCCUUGACUGGAGACACAUUUCCUUCAAAGUCCUUUAACAUCAUAACGGUCUUGGUCAAGUCUUGAUCUCUUUUUCCAAGCUUCCAAUAGACUGCAUACGGCAUAAUAUCGAUAGCAGCCCCACCAUCAACAAGUAUCUUGGUCAUCGGCUGCCCAUCAACCCUACCUUUGACAAACAGAGCUUUAAGAUGCUGUCUUUCAUUGUCGGUAGGCUUUUCAAAGAUAGCCUUCAUUGGAUCCAGAGCCAACUGAGCUAUCUGGUCGGAAAAAUCCACCUCUUCAUCAUCACUAAAAGGCGCAAGGAAUUCCAUCAACAACAUGAAUACCAUGUUAACACCUGCCGAUGGCCCUUUUCCUUUAGGAUCUGGCUGUUGCUGAUCUUCAGACUUAGCAGAAUUUUCGCCUUUAUUCAGCUCUUCUUGCCUUUCACGCUGCGGCCUUCUUCUCUGUGUCCUAGUCAACCCUUUUGGACACCCUGGAGGAAGUUAUGGCUGCCUUACCGAUUGACGACGACUUUCCCUUGUCUCCACUCGAUAAGUAUUACCAUCUCUGCAAAAUAUGAAUUCAUCGGGAACUCGUGCAUUUGCCAUUUCUUCAAGCUCUUCUUGGUUUCUGGGAAAAUAUCCGACACGGUCACCAAGCCUGUCAUGCACACUUAGCCUGCCCCCCAGCCGAUCAUGAACUGAUGCUCUUCCCCUAAUCGGCCCAUCAAAACGCCGAUCAUUGUUCUGAUACUGCCGAUUUAGUCUAUCAUACCGAUCAUAGCCAUUGCAUUCAGGGUAGUCUCUAACAGUUGGUAGCUUGAUGUUUUGCUCCCAACAGUAUAUGAAAAAUGGAUAAUUCCAGUGAUCUUUAUGUCGAUUCCACUCUUGUCGGCGUCUUUCUUCUUCUCUACGACGAUCCUCCUGUUGGCGUCGAUACCGAUCUUCACAUUGCUACCAGGUCUCCCGAUGCCUUCUAUGAGUUAUCACAAUGCCAGAUCGGGGAAGUCUUCCUGAAUUGGUCCCUUCCUGGAUCAAACCUUUGCCUUUGGCAUCAUCGGCAGUAAUCUGGUGCUGAGGAUCUACCGAUGCACUUCUUUCAGCUGCUUCUGACGUCAAGACUUUGGUUUUUCCCUUAGCAUCCAACAUAUUUGUAGAGAAAGGAUGAUGAUCGAUCUUCAUCGGCUUCUGAGCUUUGAAAUUAUCAAAUUUAAUUCUCCUAGAUUCUAUAGCCGAUUGCAACUGCUGCUUGAAAACUUUACACUCAUUUGUACUGUGAGACGUUGCAUUAUGCCACUGGCAGUAUUUCAUUUUCUCUAAUUCCUCAGCCGAUGGAAUCACAUGAUUGGGUGACAACUUGAUUUGCCCUUCCUGAAGUAGAAAGUCAAAUAUCCUAUCGGCUUUGGUAAUAUCAAAUGCAAACUUUUCUGGUUCCUUAUGCCCAAAAGGGCAAGAGAUCGGCUUCUUAUUCUUCACCCAUUCUGCCAAGCCGAUGAUUGGUUCUUCAUCAGAAUCUGAGCUUGUUGCCUCAUCGAUGAAUGACAACAUUUUAUUCCAUGCCCUCUUAGGUUCAAAAGGUUUGAUAUCUUGGUCAGAAAUCUUCUGCACUAAAUGACUCAGGCUUUCGAACUCUUGAGAAGCAUAUUUGUCUCUGAUAUGUGGCAACAAUCCCUAGAAAGCCAAAUCGGCUAGCUGCCGAUCGUCCAGAAUCAGACUAUAGCAUUUAUUCUUAACCUCUGGCAAUCUUUGCACAAAGCUUUCAACCGAUUCAUCAUUGCGUUGCUUCAGCUUGACUAAAUCGGUAAUCUUCUUCUCAUGAACCCGAGAAAAGAAAUAUUUGUGGAAUUUCUUCUCUAGAUCGGCCCAAGUAAUCACUGAAUUAGGAAGUAAUGAUAUAAACCAAGUAAAAGCCGAUCCAGACAAAGAUGAUGAGAACAAGCGAACACUUAACUCAUCUCUGUUAGCAGCUUCUCCACACUAGAUGAUGAACCUGUUAACAUGUUCCAUAGUUGAUGUAUCAUAUUGCCCAGAAAACUUGGUGAAAUCUGGUACCUUGUACCGAUUUGGAAGAGGAAUUAAGUCAUAUGCAAGAGGAUACGGUGUCCGAUAAGAGUAAGUGUUGACUUUGGGUUUUAUCCCAAAUUGGUCUCUCAUCACUUUAGCUAUCUUAUUAGCCCAAUAAGCAUCGGCAUCGUGCCAAUGAGGUGGUUGUGGAUCUGGCACCUACUGAUAAGCUUCCACAUGUCUCUAAGGUGCACGAUCUCCAUGAAACAUUGGAUUAACCAUCGCCUACUGACCACCAAGUUGCUGGCCAAGAUUCAUUGGCUAGUUGAUCAACCCUUGAUUCUGAAACCCAGGUUGGACUGGUCCCUGUUGAAACCCUACAGCCUCAUGAUUUUGCUGAGGCAUCUGUGGAAAGACAAACUGCCCUGUCCAUCCAUUAUUAACAUUCAUCGGCGUAGGUCCUGCCGAUGACUGGUAAUUGGGCAUCAUCAUUGAAUUGACAUACCCUGGCUGUGUCAUAAACCUUUGCUGCGUCGGCAUUGGAUCUGCCGAUGCAUUAGGCAUCUGGAACGUUGGCGCUUGAGAAUUCCCAGUGAAAAGUCUUGCAGUAGUAGUUGUACAAUACUGGGGAUUCUGAGUCAUCGGCGAGCUUGGAGGUGCCGAUGCCAUAGGAGCCUUGCCUGUCACGUCAGCCACUUGAGAUGUUCUAGGACCUUUUGCCAUCAAUUCUGGGGGCAUACCAUAACCCCACCAAUUGAUAGGAACAGACCCUAACAUUGCCGAUGCCAAUAAAUCCGUAGCAAGUUUGAUUUGCCCGUCCAAUGUUGAUGGAUUAGUUGUCAUCGGUGUAGAUUGCGCACUAGUCAUCCCUAACGUGCUUGGAGGGGAAGUAACUUCUGCACCCACAACGGCCGUAGUAGCCGAUGGAGCCGUAACCACCGAUGAUCCUAGCUGAUGCUAGGUAGGACCCACAUAAGAUGGUGGUACUUGUCCUUCUUUGAAAGUUCUAGCCACAACAUUAAAAACCGUAUUGGACAGUACACCAGAUUGAUUGAUCAGAGCACGGUUGACAGCACUAUCAACCAUCUCUUGCAAUUUACCAGGAUUGGCUUCAAAAGUUAUUUGCCGAGGUGCCGACAAUGCUUCCUUUUGGAUCACCUCACCACUCCUGUUGAUACUGAAGGAUUUCAAGCAUAGCUGCUUGUAGUCCUCCAUGGCUUUUGCCAUAGCUUGCUUCUGCUCGUCUCUAAGAUUGGCUUCCGUCACAGGGAUGACGUUCUCCAAGUCGAAAUUAUUGUUCGACAUGUUGAUCUUGAUCUUGAAUCUCUGUCCCACUGGGCGUGCCAAAAGAUGUGUUGAUGCAAAAGCUGAUCUGCAAACACAAAGGGCUAAUACCCGAUUCAAACGUUAAGGCGUGCCAGCCGAUUUGACCUUGCAAUCGACAAAGGUGGUAACUCGAACACUUUGGUCCCGACAACAGCGAUGCGCCUGGAUGUCACAGUCAAGAGGUGCUCAUGCGGAACUUUGAGAACACGCCAAGUUUGACUCGACGAAUUCCUAAGAACUCAUAGUAAAAAGAAAAUAUGACGAAGUCGUCGAAAAGUAGAUGCUAGAAUAUGUGUAAAAACUUGUGUUUGAUUGAUUGAUAGAUAUCUCAUUACAUUGCCAUGGGGUCUAAAUUUAUACCCUGUCCCAAAGAACUACAACCAGACACGACUAGAAUUCGAAUUCCAAAUUAAACGGAAUCCGUAUACAAAACAAACUCUAAUAACUAAGGAAAACAUUAAACUAUCCUCCAUAUCCGAUCGGUACACUGCCACAAACCAAUCGGCAACCCCUGCAUCUUUCCCCAUGACCAUCGGCAGACCGCCUUUCCCCGUCAUCGGCAACCAUCAGUACUAGUCAUCGGCAUGACCUCAUCACUACUUCUGGACUUAGUCAUAUUCCGUCGUUUUCCCAUCGGCACCGACCCCAUCGGCAAUUCAUCUACAAAUCAACCACAACUUUCCUACCUGCCGAUCUACUCCUCAUUAACUCCGAAUACGUAUUCAAAGAUACAUGUCCAAAAACGGUGUUAACAGUUCCAUGUUGAACCGUUUCAACACCUUGUCUAUAUAUGUGUCUUGGCCUAAUCCUAUUAGCCUUUUGGACCUAUCUCUAUAGAUCUUAAUGCCCAAAAUGUAUGCUGCUUCUCCUAAAUCCUUCAUAGAAAAACUAUUAUUUAGUGAAGUCUUUACUGAUUGCAACAUUGGAAUGUCAUUCCCAAUCAAUAAUAUGUCAUCCACAUAUAAGAUUAGAAAUACAACAGUGCUCCCACUUUCCUUCUUGUAAACACAAGGUUCUUCUUCAUUCUGACGGAAGCCAAAACCUUUGACCACUUCAUCAAAAUGAAUAUUCCAACUCCGAGAUGCUUGCUUUAAUCCAUAAAUGGAUUUCUUAAGCUUGCAUAUUUUUCUAGCAUUAUUAGGAUCAACAAAACCUUUGGGUUGUAUCAUAUACACGUCCUCUUCCAUUCCAUUUAGAAAUGCUGUUUUAACAUCAAUCUGCCAUAUCUCAUAAUCAAAAUAUGUAGCAAUUGCUAGAAUGAUCCGGAUAGAUUUAAGCAUCGCUACUAGCGAGAAAGUCUCGUUGUAGUCAAUUCCUUGAACUUGCCUAAAACCCUUUGCGACAAGUCGAGCUUUAUAGAUGUGAACAUUUCCAUCCAUAUCCUUUUUCUUUUUAUAGAUCCAUUUGCACUCUAUGGGUCUAACCCCAUCAGGCGGAUCAACCAAGUUCCAAACUUGAUUGUCUCCCAUGGAAUCUAUCUCGGAUCUCAUAGCACUUUGCCAUUUCACAGAAUCUGGGUCCAUCAUUGCUUCUGCAUAAUUUGUAGGUUCGUCAUCGUCUAACAAUAACAAUUCCCCCCGCAAUUCGUGAAGUCAUGCUGAUCUUCGUGGUUGUGGUGGUGUUUCUACUACCACGGGCGUCUCAACAUGUUUUGCUAUGUUAGCAUCGCUCGUAGAGUCAUCCCCAACUGGUUCAUCUUAAACUUCUUCAAGAUAAACCUUUGUCCAUUUUUCUCCCUUUUGAGAAACUCUUUCUCUAAGAAAACACCAUUUUGAGUAACAAACACUUUGCCCUCUGUCCGGUUAUAGACAUAAUACCCUAAAGUUUCCUUUGAGUAUCCCAUGAAAAAGCACUUGUCUGAUUUGGGUGUUAGUUUAUCUGAUAUAAGUCGUUUGACAUAAACUUCACAACCCCAAAUUUUUAGAAAAGACAAACUAGGACACUUACCAGUCCACAUCUCAUAUGGUGUCUUAACUACAGACUUAGAUGAUACCCUAUUUAAAGUGAAAGCGGCUGUUUCUGGAGCAUAUCCCCAAAAUGAUAAAGGUAGGUCUGACUGGCUCAUCAUAGAUCGAACCAUGUCCAACAAAGUUUGAUUACAUCGCUUAGACACACUGUUCCUCUGAGGUGUUCUAGGUGGUGUAAGUUGUGGAAUGAUUCGACAACUCUUUAGAUGAUUGCUAAAUUCGUGACUCAAAUAUUCGCCUCCAUGAUCAGAUCGCAAAGCUUUAAUUUUCUUGCCACGUUGAUUCUCUACUUCAUUCUAAAAUUCUUUGAACUUUUCAAAUGUUUCAGACUUAUGUUUCAUUAAGUAGACAUAUCCAUAUCUACUAAAAUCAUCAGUGAAAGUUAUGAAGUAUUGGAAUCCGCCUCUAGCUGUCGUGCUCAUUGGUCCACAUACAUCAGUAUGUACAAGUUCCAAUAAGUCAGACGCUCUCUCAGGAAAACCUGUGAAAGGUGCCUUGGUCAUCUUUCCCAAUAAGCAAGACUCACAUGUCUCGUAUGAUUCAAAAUAAAACGAAGUUAAAAGCCCAUCUUCAUGGGGCCUCUUCAUGCGAUUCUCACUUAUAUGACCCAAACGACAAUGCCACAAAUAAGUAGGACUUAACUCAUUAAGCCAAGGCCUUUUAGAACUAGCAUUAUAGAUAGGUGCAUCAUCAAGAUUUAAAAUAAAUAACCCAUUCACAAUGGAUGCAUAAGCCACAAAUAUGUCAUUCUUAGAGAUCACACAGCCAUUGUCUUUGUUCACAAAUGAAUAACCAUCCUUCAUCAAACAUGAAGGAGACACAAUGUUUCGACUUAAACUAGGAACAAAAUAUCAAUUAUUCAAUUCCAAAAUAAAUCCCGAUGGUAGAUGAAGUUGCUUCAUCCCAACGUUCAACGCAGCAACUCUUGCAUUAUUGCCCACGUGGAAAUCAACUUCUCCCUUUUCAACACUUCUACAUCUUAUCAUUCCCUACAUCGUAUUGCAAAUAUGAGCAACCGAUCUGGUAUCAAAUACCCAAGAAUUAAUAUAAGAGUUAGCAAGGAAAAUAUCCGUAACAUAAACAACAAGUGUAUGAGCAGCGGAAGUACCUUUACCACCGCCAUCCUUCUUCAAGGACACCAAGUACAACUUGCAGUUUCUCUUCCAGUGACCUUUUCCCUUACAGUGAAAGCACUGAGCAUCAGCAUCUGGGCCAGCCUUAGGUGUAGGUGGGUUUGGCUUAUAGAUCUCAUCCUUAGCCUUGCCCUUUUUCUUCUUCCAAGCGUUGCCCUUCUUUCUCUUAUAGUUAGGCUUGUUUUAGACAGCCAAUACUUGGCUACUGCCUGCACUCUUCUUGAUGUCAGCCUCUACUGUUUUUAGCAUGCCACACAACUCAUUCAAGCCCUUCUCCGCCCCAUGCAUAUGGCAGUUCGAGAUGAAGUUUCCAUAACUGGGUGAAAGAGACGAGAGAAUGAAAUCAGUAGCCAACUCUUGGCUAAUUGGGAAGCCUAGCUUCUCCAACCUCUGAGUGUAACCAACCAUCUUGAUUACAUGUGGGCCAACUACUGUGACCUCUGCUAGCUUGCAAUCAACAAAAGCUUUUGAGACUUGGAACCUUUCAGUUCUAGCCUCAGCCUAGAACAUAUCAUUAAGCGCUAUGCUAAUAUCAUACGCUGCAUGAUUAUUUUCGAACUGCAUCUACAGCUCAGGUUCCACACAAGCAAGCAUGAGGCAACUCACUUCAAGAUCAGCAUCACAUGCUUUCUUGUAAGCGUUCUUCUCGGCAGUAGAUGCAUUAUCCUCAGGUGCUUCUGGUAAUGGGGUGUCUAGAAUCUCUUCCUUUUUCUCAGCCUUGAGAACAAUUCUCAGGUUACGGAUCCAAUCCACAUAGUUUGAUCCAUUCAACAUAUCUUUCUCAAGAAUUGAGCACAAAGUAAAUGUUUGAUUGGUGGGCGCCAUUAAUCUACAACAAAAGGAAUGCAAAAUACUAAGACAACAUAUCCAAGACAGAGUAAAUAAUAUUAAAUAAAAUCUACUCCCACUAAAAUCAAUAUCCCUCAAUUGAUACUUAGUGAUUCAAGACCCACAACUAACAAGUAUACUAGUGAGCUUUAGCAUCACCACUAGUAGACAUGGUAGUUCGGUAAACAACUCCUUGCUAAUCAUAUCACAUAUGACUCUUGUUGUUGGGAUGGCAUCUCUAUGCUUGUGUUACCCAACUACUUAUGCUCCAAGGUCCCUAACUGUUAGGAUGACCUUGUUCAAGAAAACCAACCCUUCUGCAGUAAGUAUCCGAUACGAACCUGCCUAGUCAAGGAAAACCAGUGACACCCUAAUUUCAUAGACCUACCACCGAUUGUACAAGACACAUGACAGUGCAAGGUUUGGGGGAGCAUGUAACUUAAACAUUGCUGAGGGAUCGUUCUACUUCACUACCGCGUGCAUGUAGACAAAACAUCAUCGCAUAUGAAAGUAAAACAUAGUAAGAAUGGCAUUAACACAGAUAUGACUUGGUAUAGCCCAUUAUCACUUUGGGGAUCUCCAUCUCCAUCUCCAUGAUCCAUGUACGCCAUCCUCCAGUAAUGAUUCCACCAAGACUAGCUAUCACUAACGCAAGACUGUGAAUCAAAAUUACAUAGUCGUGGGUAGGAUCAUCACAAAUUGGCACGCAGGCCAUUACAUCAGGUAGAUAAUAUCUAUGUGGCUCCAGCCAUAUUGUCAUUAUCAUGACGUGCAAGCCAUGAUUUUAUUACAUACAUGCAUCACAUACACAUAAGGGCUAUACCAGUGAUGAAUCCCUGCAAAAUAGAGUUAACCGAUUCGGACAUCUAAACUUGCAGGGCCAAAAAACUCUAUUUUCCUGACCUUUUUUCGCAAUUCUAAUUUCACCGAACAUAGUUUCACAUGGAGAAUUGAAUGUAAAUUUUUUUUCUCUAUGAUUUUUGUUUAGAGAUCGUCUCAAUCUAAGUUACGGAUCAAAAGUUACGGCUGUUCUACCGAACAACACUUUGCCCGGCAAUCCACCGCCCGGCAGUAGAUCCCAUCUACUACCGCCGCGCAUCACAUGCGCCCGGCACUUGACCUAGAGUUCAAUUAGAUCAAUCUGAUUGAUCUCUAUCUCACCAUUACUGGGUUUACAUGUAUCACUUAACUUGGAUGACGGAAUUCCGACCGGUACGAGUAGAUCAUUACAAUACCAGCACAACAAAACCUUGAACCAAGAUCAUGAGACUCAUCUAAAACUGCACAUAUCUCUAUAAGUACUGUUGAUAUUUGGGAACGCAAUAAGGAAUUGAUCCGCAAGCGCACGGAUAUCGGUGAGCAUUUCACCCGAGAGGUUAUCCAGAGUAUCGUAUUUAUAUUUUUACCACUGAGAGAAAGCAUGCAUCUGACUAACCAAAUCUAUUGCUACUACCCUUUAGGCUACAAAGAAUGUUUCUCGAUGUGAGUGAUGUAUAGAGAAGACUGCAACCGUAGUCUCAUUCUAACGUUGGUACGGAUGAUCUACUGUUCUAUUAGGGAAGCUUACGGAAUCUAGACACCACAGAGGAUGUUCGACCCGCACCUAUAAACCUACCCGUCCUGCUAACGAGAUGUGGGAUGCAAAGGUAACUCGGAAAUGUCACGUUCCUCGCUACUACCACGGUCCAGCUAGUCAGGGGAUAUCUAUGAGUACCCUAGCCCAAACACCACGUUUACGCUAGCAAUGAUUACUCUAAACUCAACCGGAAGAGAUUAAAGUAAACUCAUAAACCAAAGAACAAUAAAACAAGAACUUACUAGAAUUAGAAGUCGAAUUAGUGAAGAAUCCUAGGAGCAAGCCUCGGGUUAGGAGACUUGAUCCCGCAGGUAAAACCUCGGAGUAGACACCGACAGGCCGGGCUUCCUCCGAUCUACACCUCCACUCUAUCUCUCUCAAUCUAGUAGAAACUAGAAGAUCUAAUUCUACUCACAUUGGAUGCUAAGCCUAAACAAAUAUUUAUUUAGAGGAGAGGUAUUCCUUCGAGGGCUCCUCUCAACUCUAUGAUGAACUUGUCUCCUCCAGGGGCCUGGGGGUCUGAUUUUAUAGUCCCCUCAAGUGAACGUGAGCCGUUGGAUCACACCGACAUUGAUUGGACAGUUAUCCUUGAUCCUUUAGGUCGGUGGAGCAUGGUCCCCGAAAAGAGUUCUGAUUGGGGUCCAGGUCAGGGUGGGUGCCCUGCCCCCGGGCCCGUUCGCCUUCCCGUUCGUUUCCGUGGCUUCUAGAGUCUUCUAGAUGACAGAAAAUUGCACAGCACGUUAAUAUCUCUAUGUAAACCUGACGUGUGGGCCUUUCUUCCAUAUUUCCUGAUAACCCCCUGCAGAAAUAGACAAACACCAAAACUCAUGGAAUUCUGACAGAUAAAACCCUAAGUCUGGGUGUUGGUUGCAUUUGGAUCCUUUUCUUUAUUUAUUUCAUGAUUAUUUUUGGUACUUAAGGACCGUCAAAAACUCCCCCAAGCUUACCUCUUGCUCGUCCCUGAGCAAGGAUGAACUCAAGAGUUUCUGCAGUGGUUUCAUGCCUAAAAAGUAAGAUCUCAUCUCUGAGUUUGAGUAAACUGUUUAGACUUAAAACUUACUCAUUUGACCUUUCACCAUGGGGCUUGUAACCUUCACUUGUGUCUUGAGCAGUUAAAAGAUAGAACGGUCAAGUUAAGCGCCAUGUCUCUUGUUCUUUGAUUAACUAUAGCUCUGGAGUUUUUUUUUCCAGAUUUUCAAAUAAAACUCAGAGAUUCCUUGUAUGACUCUCUCAAAUCUCUCUUUUGUAGUAUUUCUGGAUCCUUACCAAGGCAGUAAUGGUAUAUGCCUUCUCUCUCACCCUACUCUAAUAAGGUUUUGAUAUCUGGAGCUCAUAUGUGGGAGACAGCUAAUACAUACUUACAAGACAUUUAUUGCAUAGUCAAACUAUGGAUCCAGAGAAACAAGUCAAUAAGCCAAAUCAAGAUGUGCAUGUGUGGCGAAUGAAUGGUGUAUGGUGAUGAUGGUGAUAACAAUGGUGAAAGUCUAAUUCUAAUUUUGCUCUUUUAAGGGGAUACAUACCUUUCUUGCACUUUGAAGCUUUUUGAGGAGAAUGAGAUGCUCUAUAUUUUUCUUUUUCUUUUCUCUCAGGUGGGUAUCUUGUACCCCUAAUUCUACUGUCGGACACUUGUCCAUUUUUACCUCUUGUCUCACUCUUUCUUUUCUUCGAGGUUCCGGUCACUUGCCCCUUUUUAUUUCCUCGUAUCCUUCAUUUUUUUACUAGAGCACUUAUCUCCUGAAAUAAUAUAGCAAGUGGUAGUAACAAAGAUAUCUCGAGCAUUUAUUUCACAGGGAAUAACAGAAUUAGGAGAAUGUUUUUGGCUAUUCUCUCCCGGAUUAGGAGUAGAAUAAUUUUAGGUAAAUCUAGAGAUAGAAUUGAGUGGAUGUAUGUGGAUGCGUACUUCCUGAGUAGAAGUAGCAUGUAUGAGUGAACGUGCAAGUGGAUCUUGAUUUUAACCACAUGACAAGCUCCUAAGGGUCUACAUAGCUUGACCACACUCAAUGCUCAUAAGCAGUAAAAAGUAAAUGUGUGGCUCAAAGUCUAGCAAGCAUGUAUGUAUGGCUGUGGUAGGAAGUUAAACUCUCAUCAUAUAGGAACUCAUCAUGUGUUAUUUUAAAGAUUUUCAAAGAUAAAAUUCUCCAGAAUUCUAGCAUCUCUAGGAAUAGAUAAACAGUAGUUCAAUCUUCCCAUAUCAUAUCUGUUAAUGACUUAGACUUUAGAUAAAGUACUCUUUCCACAAGUUCAGGUUUAGAGCAUGUUUAAAUUAUAACAGUUAUGCCUAAACUUGAGAGAGAUUUCAAUUUUAAGAACUAGUCAUGGCAGAGCAACUAUUCAUUAUUUCCAUGUGAGAGCUUAUCAUGAGGGUACUUAGCAAACUUUAUUUAUUUAUUUAUUUAGCAAACUAAGCAAGGAUAUAUAUAAACGCAUAAAAUCUUUAUUUGGGUUUUUUAUGAUUAUGCAUUUUUUUAUUUUUUGAGUAAAGUAUAAACGCGAGUAGAAACACUUAGCUGGAUAAAUGGGGGUGCUCUCCCCCAAGCUGGAUUUUGACGUAAUUUCUUCUGAUGUAGCUAACAGGUGGUGGAGGUGUAUUUGAAUGUCGGCAGCACCCUGACAGCGAUUAGGAUGUCCUCUGUCUGCUAGCCUUCUUUGAUCCUUGAAUUCUGUGGAGCUCAAAUAGACAACAAAGCUUUGUGGAACUGGUUAAGUGUUAGCAUAAAUAUCUAGCCUUUAUCAUGUUGAGCCUCCUUAAUAAAUGUUAUUUAUUUAGCAGGAUCAUGCACUUAUUAUUUUUAUAUUUUUAUUGUAAGAUGAAAACAUAUUUAUUUUAUGCCACCACAGUGAAUGUACCUAUGGGUUUUAUGCCAUGAGCAUACUCACAUGGGGCUUACUAUUUUUAACAUUUUUAUUUUCUUUUUGAGAUGAUAUGAACCUGAUUAACUAAGCAAACUAUUUUAAAUAGUUGAAAGGAAAAAGGAUAACUACCAAGUUUACCUCUUGGCAAGGCGUUCGGUGUUUUUAAGUCCUCCGAACGGGACUCUCCGUUUUCUCAGUCGUCCUGGGAUUCGCUGGAUGGCGUAGUCGGUGGUUCUGGCGGCGCCUCCUCUUCGUGUAUAACUAUCUUCUUUCUCCACACCUGACUCGGUGCUAUGGUCUCCUCAGGACUGUUCUGUUCAAGCUGUAUGUCUUCAGACCUUACCACUUCUCCUUCGUAGUCUACCCAUCCGUCCUUGAUGAUUUGCCUCCUCUGGUUUCGGUUGCGUCGCCUUCUUGAGAGGAAAGUGCAUGCGGACUUCUCCGGUUCCAAUAUAAAUGAUGGCUUUGAUGGUGUUGAGGAACGGUCUUCCAAGGAUGGUGGGUGGAUCAUACUCGUCUUCUCCCAUGUCAAUGACCAUUAUGUUGUCGUCAGAUCCGGUGUCGUAGAGUGUCUUCUGAAAAGAGUAUCCAUUGAUUGUGCACUCGAUGCUUGGAACACCAGGGUCGUCCAUCUUGAUCAGGAAAGGCGACUUGAGUCGACGAUCUUGACCUCCUCCGACAAGGAUCCAAUGUUCUUAAGUCUUCUGGACAAGAAUUCUUAACGUGUUCAUCCUUUAGGUGCAUCAUUCAAUUAGGUGUGGGUCUUGACAUCUGCACCUCUUGAUACGGUGUAACCCAUGUUCUUCGUUUGCCCAGCAGUCGAAGUGCGGUAUUGGCAAUAUCCUGCUCAAUGUGUUUGUGCUCGUAGAUCCAGGUCCUUCACUUGGUGGAGUCUGGGAAUUGUAAAACUCCUCCAUGUUUUGCUUGAAGUGUACCUGUUCAUAGAGAUAAGGCAGAGAUCAAGUGCAUGGGCCCUGUUGGUGGAAAACACCAACAGAACAAAAAGUGUAUUUGUUCUUCUCUAACCUUAAGCAUAGUGAGCAAGACAAAGUUGAUGGAUCAUGAGUGUAGCAUUUGUCAGAUUAGAUGGCUCAACCUAAAGGAAAGAUAAUCUAUCUAUAUUUAUGUUUUCUUUAUAUCUUCCAAAGAUUGAAUGUGCAAUAUUUUAGCUUACUAGGAACGAAGAUUAAAUGACUAAACAUGCUGAAUCAGUUGAGUUGGUUAAUUUGGAGUUAUAAAUCAUACAUGUUUGUCUCUUUAUUUUAUGUGAAUGCCAGAACCAAGGAGAAACUUAUAAAAGCGAUAGUCAAGUACCUUAAGAUGUUACCUUAAUUGAAGAGUGAUGGUAUAGUAUCACCUUGUGGAAGCUUUCCUUUCUUAGCGGUUGUGCAUCGUGUUUGUGGCACCCUCCAUAGAUCAUCUCUUUAUGAUGAAUGAGCUAUGUCCUUCUUGUGCAAAUUGUUAAACUUCAUGUGUCUCCUUUAUCUCCAAUGAGUUUGUAUCUCAGGACUUCCCAGGUUGAUAUUGAAAGUUUUCCUGCAGGGGUUAGUCCAACAAAAUAUCCCAUAUCUACUCGGCUCAAAAAUCAACCUAGACACCAUGUCUAAUUUGAUUUAGGAGGGCAUUUUAACCUAAGCACCAUGCUUAAUUUAAAAAUCCUUUGGAAGUAAGAUCAUCAUUCCUAAACUAAGCACCAUGCUUAAUUAAGAGAUAAAUGAAACUACUCCAAACCUAGACAUAUACUAAAGCAAAUAAAGGUAGCAUGAGAGCAUUUAUAGAGAUCUACUCAAAUGGAGAUGAAGUAGUGUGAUUACUAUUUAACAAAUGGAGCAUGUCUCAUAGGUAGGGACAACCAACAUAGCAACAUGGCAAAGGAUGUUUUUAUGUAAAGUUCUCCCCCAAGCUUGAAUUUUGCAAAAUUAAAGAUUGGAUGAAUUUAAUUCAAUGUUGCAUGAUGAUUGGUUGGGCAUACCUUGCGCUUGUCAUUCCUCGGAUCUUCUUGCUCCAAUCCUAGAAAGGUUAGUGACACGAAUACCCGAAGGAAUAUUUCUACAAUUAUCUUUAUAUGCUCAAUGCACAAGGCAAUGUUGCAAAUAAUUAGAAGUUCAUGUUACGAUCUGAUCAGUGCUUGUUUUAGGACACUAAGCUUGUCCUUGGGAAACCAUCAAUUUAUGUCAGCGAAGUGGUUUCCCCUCCAACGCUGACCUAUAUCAAGAUCAACUCAACGAGAUCUGCAAUAUUUAUUAUAGACAUAUACAUCGACAACCGCCCUUUUAAAGUUUUUAUAAAUAGAAAGGAAGAGGGGGUUGGAGAUCUCAAAUGCGGUGAUGUUGGAGAGACCAAUUGAUUUGGGAGAUGUUUUAUAUGAGCAAGGACUUGGUGAGGUAUUUAUGAAAUAACUUCCAUGCUCACUGUUGUUUCUCUCAUUCUCAAACUCCAAGGAUGAUUCUUCAUGAAUGCUUAAAAUUCCUCUAGGAUUGCCUCUCAAGUUUGUUUUAUCUAUCCAUUCAAUGGUGAUAGCACAUGGAUUUUUCAUGCCCUCUAGCCAUUGAUGUUGCUCUUCUCGAUCCUCCUUGUGGUCUUGGUGACUCUUAUGAAUGGGAUGUCUAGAGAGAUUCAUAGGAUCAUCGAGAGGUUCAAGAGAAAGAGCAUAGUAGAAAAUAUUAAGCUCAAGGAUGGGUUGGAUAGCCGAAUUAUGGGAUUGAAAUGUUUGGAAAUUGGCUAUUGAAACUUCCUUUUCUCGUUUGGGAGAUGAUUCCUUCUCUAUCUCUAAGAUUUUUCUAUGAAGACUAGUACAAGAAGGAUGUCCACGAAUGAGGACAUACCUUCCUUUACUCAUAGAUAAAGAAAGAAAGACUCUACCAAAGGUUAUAUGAUUAAGACCAAUGUGAAAAUAUCUAGGAAAAACAUGGUCUUGUAGGGCUAGGUCUAAACCAAAAUUUAUAGAAAGAUUAACAGAUUCCCUAGGUGUAGCUAAAAGUUCAUUAUCUUCUUGAUUAAAAGAUAGGACCUCGGCUAUAGAAAAGGGUUGGUUUUGACCUAUUGCAAUCAACUCCGGACACAGAUCAUAAUUAGGGGCAGGACUUGUUGACUCCCAUGGUCUAUGGCUGGUCUCCGAAGGUGCAAAAAAUUCAAUAAUAGGUGUGGAGUUUGAGUUAUCCAUAAAGAUGGAAAAAAUAAAAAGAUAAAAGAAUAAAAGUAUAAAAGUAUAAUACAAGAUAAUAGUAAGACUUAAAGUUAUCUCAGCAAACCAUCUUUGUCCCCGGCAACGGCACCAGAAAUGCUUGUUGAUAUUUGGGAACGCAAUAAGAAAUUGAUCCGGAAGCGCAUGGAUAUCGGUGAGCAUUUCACCUGGGAGGUUAUCCAGAGUAUCGUAUUUAUAUUUUCACCACUGGGAGAAAGCGUGCAUCUGACUAACCAAAUCUAUUGCUACUACCCUUUAGGCUACAAAGAAUGUUUCUCGAUGUGAGUGAUGUAUAGAGAAGACUGCAACCGUAUUCUCGUUCUAACCUUGGUAAGGAUGAUCUAAUGUUCUAUUGGGGAAGCUUACGGAAUCUAGACACCACAGAGGAUGUUCGACCCGCACCUAUAAACCUACCCGUCCUGCUAACGAGAUGUGGGAUGCAAAGGUAACUCGGAAAUGUCAUGUUCCUCGCUACUACCACGGUCCAGCUAGUCAGGGGAUAUCUAUGAGUACCCUAGCCCAAACACCACGUUUACGCUAGCAAUGAUUACUCUAAACUCAACCGGAAGAGAUUAAAGUAAACUCAUAAACCAAAGAACAAUAAAACAAGAACUUACUAGAAUUAGAAGUCGAAUUAGUGAAGAAUCCUAGGAGCAAGCCUCGGGGUUAGGAGACUUGAUCCCGCAGGUACAACCUCGGAGUAGACACCGAUAGGCCGGUCUUCCUCCGAUCUACACCUCCACUCUAUCUCUCUCAAUCUAGUAGAAACUAGAAGAUCUAAUUGUACUCACAUUGGAUGCUAAGCCUAAACAAAUAUUUAUUUAGAGGAGAGGUAUUCCUUCGAGGGCUCCUCUCAACUCUAUGAUGAACUUGUCUCCUCCAGGGGCCAGGGGGUCUGGUUUUAUAGUCCCUUCAAGUGAACGUGAGCCGUUAGAUCAAAUCGACAUUGAUUGGACGGUUAUCCUUGAUCCUUUAAGUCGGUGGAGCUUGGUCCCCGAAAAGAGUUCUGAUUGGGGUCCAGGUCAGGGCGGGCGCCCAAGGGGGCAGGGCGGGCGCCCUGCCCCCGGGCCCGUUCGCCUUCCCGUUCGUUCACGUGGCUUUUGGAGUCUUCUAGAUGACAAAAAAUUGUGCGGCACGUUAAUAUCUCUAUGUAAACCCGAUGUGUGGGCCUUUCUUCCAUAUUUCCUGAUAACCCCCUGUAGAAAUAGACAAACACCAAAACUCGUGGAAUUCUGUCAGAUAAAACCCUAAGUCUGGGUGUUGGUUGCAUUUGGAUCCUUUUCUUUAUUUAUUUGAUGAUUAUAUUUGGUACUUAAGGACCGUCAACAUGUACCCAAUCGAAUCUAUAACAAUGUAGUAACGGCUCUGAUACCACUGAUGGAUUAUGAGGACGCUACACUAGCUAGGAAACAAAAAUUUCGACCUCAUAAACAAGGAUCAACUGCAAGUUAUAGAUCACGCAAUUACCACUAGACUCGCAGAUACAGCGGAAGCGACUCAGUGUAGUUGUGCGCAUAGUAGUAGUGUCGUGCAGUUGCAUGGUCAUCGACCACACCACCUCUCUCGUGGUUCAUCAUUGUGCUCCAGAUGCAGCACCUCUGAGGUAUCCCACACGUGCGGGGAAGAAGCGUUGCGCCUCUGGACUGCUAGGUUCGCGAGGAGCAAAAGGCACGAGUGUGGGUGAGCGGCAGCGCCUGCCUAAUGGCGUGGGAUUCACCCUGGCUGCGCCCCCUCCCUCUCUUAUAUAGAUGUCCUCCAAUCAGCCCCUAAUCGAGGGCACAAUUAGAAACCCUAAGCCUUGUCUAAUUUGGGUCCAACCCGAAUUAGGUUUCCAGCCCCUUAAGCGUGCGACCCUAUGGGUUCACGUAUAUAUAGACAUGGGCCGAGUACUCCUACUCGUCCAAUAGUUGAUAGCAACCUCUAGCAAGGCUUGACAACUCCUAUACAUACGCAAUGAUCAUAUCAGACGAACCACUACAUACAUAUACAUGUUAUUCCCUUGCCACACGAUAUUUGGUUCAACUCGUGGGUUAACACUUAACCCAAGCACGGCCAUGCAUUUGUUGAUCCAAUCACUUGAAUGAUCCAGUGAUAUCUCUCUUACUUAGAGAGGGGCAAGUUCCAUCUUGAUCAUCUACGUCUCAGAACAUGUUCCCCGACAAACCCGAAGACCACCUUUAUAACUACCUUGUAACGGAGUAGCGUUUAAUAGUCCCUAAGUAGGUCGUUUCACAUCUUGAGAACAUACGACAAUCUCAGGUCUAAGGACAUAACGUACAUGAUGUAUAAAGAGAUAAUAAGAACAUCUCUUGUUGGGUCAGUCCAGCCCCAUGUCAUACAUGUGCCCACAUUAUUAGUUUGACAUCUCUAUGUCUAUGACUUGUGAAACAAAGUCAUCAACUAAUACAUGUGCUAAUCUAAUGUUCAUGUGUAUCCUCACAUAAACUCUGAUCAGGGACAACUUUAGAAUAACCAUACAAGUAAAAGAGUUUCACAAACAAUUCACAUAAUUGUUAAUCAAUACAAGUUUGUCUAUAAUGGAUAUUCAUUGAACUCAUAAUAUAUGUCAUGGAUACAAUCGUAAUAUCAUCAUCUAUAUGAUUACCUCUAGGGCAUAUUCCCAAAACCCAUGUGGUAUUCUUCUCCUUGUUGGCGUAGAACCAUUGCUUCACUUUUUGUUGGUAUUUCUUAUGUUACUUACUAAGAAUAGAGUUUAAACCCUAUCCCGGCACGAUGCCAGAAAUGUGAGUGGAGUAAAGACUCUAUCCUUAGUGGCCAGGUUGUCAUCCCCAGCAUGACAUAAGAAGUACACUGGUGGUAGUAAAUAUGCAAUACUCUCUUAGAAUGAUGAAUAUAGAAUAAGGUAUCUGCAAGCGCACAGAUAUAACCAUUGUAGCAUUUCACCUAGGAAAGUUCUAGGUAUCGUAUUUAUAAUUCUACCCAUGGGAAGGAAAGGAGAGGAGAUAGAUAUCACUUGCAUGUAUUCUCUCGAGGGCAACCACAAAUUAUCUAUCUAACUUAAUACAAGGGUAAGUCACUUGAUAAAUAUAUAUAUAUAAUGAAUAUGAAUGAUAAUCAAACAUAGAAUGAUAAAGGAUAUCUCUAGAGUACUCCAGUCUAUGACACUAGCAUGGAUUAGAAUGAUCUAUUUAAAUGUUUCCUAUGUUAUUCUAACUAUAUAGUAUAGCAUAUUACGAUUAGUGCAAUUAUACUUGGCAAUCAUAGUGGGAGUAGAUUAUAUCUACACAUAUGGACAUUACUAAGGAAAAUCAGGAACAGAGCAAUCAUCUCCCCGUAAUUAGUGUCUAUAGAAACUAUAUUCGGAGGGUGGACUAUAGAGGACUCAACGGGUAUAUCACCCCUGCGAUCUACCACAUGACUCGAAAUAUAGCAUGCAAACACAGGUAAACACAAUAUAGGCACCACACCUACAUAAUGUCGACCACCCACCCAUCAUACUAAUGAGCAAGCGCUAUACGAAUAUAUAUUUGAAUAUAAGUCUAAACCAACUAUGCCAAGCAUAUAAUCAUAAUAGACUAAGAACAAUAUAAUGAAGAAUAUAAGCAAAUAGAGCAAAGUCAUAUCCAAUAUAAGAGAAUAGAGCAAAGUCAUAUUCUACUAUAAGAUGUAAUAAUAUAUAUAAUGAUGAACUAGAACAAAGUAGGAGGAAGAAUACAAGAAUUACCGAGUAACUCUCCGGCAGAUCUAGAAACCAAGGAACGCUUGCCUCCAACUAGAUCUAUUCUAUGUAGCUAUGCCUCUAAACUUGGAGCUCUAGAGAGGAGAAAGUAGAGAAUGAAUUCUAUGAAUGAGAUCAACUUCUAACUUGAAUUGAUGCCUCUAACCCUAGGGUCUACCCCUCCUUAUAUAGGCCGGUGGGAUGAGCCGUAGCCCUUGGAUCAAACCGACCUUAAUGGACGAAGAUUAGAGAUCCUCUAAGUCGGUUUAGGCCAUGAUCUGCGGCCUCUCUCAUGAUUGGAUAGGGAGAGUGUGGGCACCCCCCUUGGCCGCCCUGGCUCGGGGUCUGCUCGUGUUCCACUUCGUUCUAGUGGCUUCCCGACUCUUCUAGAUUCUUCUUUUAUAUACAUGACGUAGAUAUCUCUUUUCUCUCUAUGUAAUCAUGACAUGUGGGCCUCCAAAGGUCAUUUCCUGAUAACCCCCUGUAGAAAUAGACAUUCACCAAAACCUAUAAAAAUCUGUCAGUUGAAACCCUAUUCUAUUGUUGGUGAUUAUUUCUUGCCUUCAUUCCAUUCUCUUGUUGAUAUAAAAUUGAUACUUAUCUACCGUCAACAAGCUCCCCUAAGCUUACCUUUUGCUCAUCCCUGAGCAAAGCAAACUCAGCAAAGGAUCAGGAGUUGCUGUAAUGCUAUCAUACUUCAAGGGUACAUAUGCAUUUGAACAAGAACUUUCUUCUGGAUUAGAAUGAAUUGUAAUGACUUAGACUUACCCAUAUUACCUUCCACCAUGGGGCUUAUAUCUUUUACCUUGGUCUUGAGUGGUUGACGGAUAGAAUGGUCAAGUCAAGCACUAUGUCUCAAGCUCUUUGAUCAACUUUCAUUCUAGAGUUUUUGCAACAUUUUCAAAUAAAACUCAGAGAUUCCUGUGUAUGACCCUCUUAAGUCUCUCAUAUGUGGUAUUUGUGGAUCCUCUCCAAGGCACUCAUGAUGUCUGCCUUCUCUAUUCUCUCAAAGUUUGUGGUAUUUUUGUUAUAGGCAUAGUCAGGUGCUCUCUCUCUCACCUUAUAACUAAGUGGCUUAUGUGGAGCUCAUAGGUGGGGAGACAGCUCAUACACACUUGUGAACAUAUAUUGUAAAGUCAAACAAUGGAUCCAAAGAAUCAAGUCAUACAAUCAAAUCAAGAUGUGCAUGUGUGUGGUAUAUAACGAAGUGGAAUGUAAUGGAUGGCAAAUAGGUGUGGUAUGGAUGUAUGGUGAUGGUGAUAGUGGAAUCCUCUGCUGCUUGAAAACAUACCUACCUUUAUUGGAAGUUUUGGGGAGAGUUUGGGUUGGUCUAUUUUUCAUUUUUUUCUUUAUUUUUUUUCAUUUUUUUUCUUUUGGAGAGCACCCAAAUCUCUUUUCUGGAUAAUGAAAUGGUAGGUAGCAACAAGAAACAAUUGGAGGUUUAUUAAAUGGCAAUGGAUGAAUGAAUGGGAUGUUUUUCGUGUUCACUCCCAGUGUAGGAGUAAAACAAAUAUGUGUGGGUCUAGAUGAAAUGAUGGUGGAUGCGUACUUUUGGUGUAGAAGCAGCAUAAAUGGGAGGAGUGUAUGUGAUCUUGAUUUUAAAAGCAUGACUAGUUCCAAGGGUCAACAAAGCUUGACAAACUCAAUGCCCAUAAGCAGUAAAUGAUAGUGAAGUGUUUUCCUAGUCUACAAGACAUGUAUAUCUAGCUAUGGUAGGCAUUUAAGCUCUCAUCAUACAGGAACUCAUCAUGCAACAUUUUUAUGUUUUUCAAAAGAUAAACUCUCUAGAACUCUAGCAUCUCUAGGAACAUGAUCAAUAGCAGCUCAAAACCUUUCCAUAUCAUAUCAAACAACUACCUAGACUUAAGCUCAAACAUUGCAACCCACAAGUUUUAGGCUCAGAGUAAAUUCUUAAUUAAAACAGUUGUGUCUAAAACUUGGGACAACUCGAGUUUAAAAGCUAGGCACUCAUAAAGUGUGGGGGAGCAACUAUUCAUCAUUUCCAUGUGAGUUAAACUUUGGUUUGGCAUAAGCAAAAUUAAUCCUUGUAUCUUCUCCUUUUAUUUAUUUAUUUAGCAAUUCUAAAAUCAUACAAAAAAUAUGUAAGGAAAUCUUUAUUUGGUUUAAAAGGUUUGUUCAUCUUUUUAUUUGUUUUCAUAAUCUAGAUAAGGCAACUUCAAAUUCAGAUUCAAAAUUUCAAAAGAUGGAAGAAGCACUUAGCUAGAUACACGGGGGUAUGCUCUCCCCAAAGCUGGAUGUUGACGUGGUCUCUUGAUGUAGCGGACUGGCAACGAAGGUACCUCCUCUAGUCGUCGGCCUUCUUGAUCCUUCAAAUUCUGUGGAGCUCAAAUAGAUAACAAAGCUUAUGGAUUUGGAUUAAACGUUAGUGAUAAACCUCUAAGCCUUGAGUGUCUAGAACUCACAAUUGAUUGAGCAAAUAAUAUCCAGGAUCCUUUUCUUUUUGGUAUUUUAAAUGUUUUUAUAUUUUUCUAGAUUUUCAAAUUUAUAAUGCAUAAAGGGAAAAUUCAACUAUUCUAUUUAUUUUUGUGCCACCACAUGAGUAAUCUUUAUGGAUUGCCACAAAGUUAUUCACAUGGGGCUUUGCAUUUUUUAUAGCCAUGCAUAGCCAUUUUUAUGUUUUCAAAGUAAAGGAAAAAUCUAACUAGAACAAAAAAGAUCUAUAUUAUUUUUUUAUGCCACCACGGUGAGUACCUUGAGCAUGUACCACCAAAGGACUCACAUGGGGCUUCAAGGUUUGGUAAAUGUUUUUGGAAACUAUGCAUGAUGAAUAUUUAUUUUCUUUUCUGAAUGCAAAAAGGGUGUUGAAUUAAAUGACUAUGAUUGUGAGGAAAUUAAAUAUGCUUCUAAGGGAAACUAAUGCAGCUUUGAAAAGGGAAAUAUGGAUAACUACCAAGUGUACCUUUUGGCGAGGGUUUGGUGUUUUAAGAGCAUCUCCAAGAGUUUGGUAAAAUUAACUUGCUAAAUCUUCAGUUUUAGCAAGUUGCUAAUUGAUUUGGCAAGUGAAAAAAAGUGUUCUCUCCAACAGUUUUGUAUUCUACUUGGUAAAAUUCAUAAAAAUAGCACUGGUCGGCAGCAGCACCUGGUCAGCACCGGCAGCAGCACCUAAUUCUCAUUCAUAAACUUAAACUUUGGAUAAUUCUCAUACAUGAACUUAAACUUGGCCAAACGUUUAAAUUGACUCAUAAUUCAACCAACUAAACUUAAUUUUCUGCAUGUCUCGCGAGAAUCUUCUUCUGCAUAAUCUCAAUCCAAUCACGCUGCAUCGGGUUGAGGGAGGUCAUGUCCGCUAACAUAAUUUAUUUUUCUUCUUUCAUCAAGUCGGCUUCAGAUUUCUUUGCUUCAUUUUCCACCCGCUUCUUCUCUAGCUCUAGCGUAGCCUUCUCUAUCUCUAGUGUCGCCAAGAACCUGUCCUCUUUGGCCUUCUCCUUGACCUUGUCGUAGGCCUCUUUCUUUGACCACAUCUUCUCCAAAGCUUCCAAGCAAACCUCACCACCUCCUCGCCUAAGAUUUUCUUUUACCUACAGAUAAGUUCAAAAAUAAAUGUUUUAUCAUGAAGAAAAAAUACAUGUAAAAUACAUAAAAUGCUUGACAAUAAUUAUGUACCUUCUUUAUCCCAUCUGACCUCUUCCUAGUAGGCUCAGUUUGUCCAACAUCACCAGCUAUGACUUCAACAUCAUUGCCGGCUCCUUCAUCUCUUGGCCUGGACACCUUUGUUGUCUUCUGUUUCUUUUUGCUUGCUGCUAGUUUCUCAAGCUCUACAAGUUCUGCCAUCUUGGCUUUCCACUUGUCCUCCCCUUUAAGUAUGUUCCAGCAAUGAUCAAGAGCAAAAGGCUUUUUGUCCUUAUCUAAGUCCGCGUAAUACUUCUUUGCAUCAUUAAGCUAAACAGAUAUAUUGUCAAUGUAUAUACAUUUAAAAAAUAAGAUCAACUAAAACAUUCAAUACAUAUUUCAUACCUUGUCUUGGAUAGUAGUACCACUUUGAUUCCUACGAAGAAUGGCCUCAUAGCACGAACAGAACUUGUUCACGGACAAUUGUAUUGUCAACCAGCUAUGCAUAAUGGAACUCUCUGUACGAGGAAGUCCAGUUUCAAUGUGUUGCUCGUAGUAAGCAUGAACUCUUCCCCAAAAUGUUCCACGCGAUUGAUUAGCCCCGUUGAUGGGAUCCUUGCUAACAUUCAACCAUCCUAAGCAAACAACUUCAUCCUCCUUGUAAGAAAAUUUUUGGACCUCCUUCCUCCCUUGGUACUACGGCUUGCCUGCACUUCCUCAACAGGAUUACUGUCUUGAGUGAUUGGAAUGGACUUCUCGCCCAAAUCAGGAACAUGAACCCCUUCUCCAUUGCAAAGAAUGUUGGACAGGAAUUCUUCAUCAUCUCCUUCCAUCCUAAGAUCAGAUCAAAACAAACAAAUCCUAAUUACCAGAAUAUAUAAUUGUAUCACUAAAAAAUAAUUCAACUGAUCAAAGAAACAUCGUUGCCUAGAACUGCUUUGGGCGUGUUUUGCAAUGCAAAUAAUUUAAUAAAACCUAAUUAAAUUAAAGGUAAGCAAUGUAUUGAGUUCGAUCAGAGCUUAGAUUUGAGCCAGAUCGAUCACUUUUCAGAAGGGAACUAUGGACUUCAUCUGCAAUAAAAGAACCAAACUUGAAAUGAACUUACAUAUCCCUACAUUGACAUUACUCCACAAACAUUGACAUUUACUCCACAAAUACUGGUACCAGAUGCAGCUUGAUGAGUCAGGUAACAUAGUAUACAUAUCUUGUCCAGAUAUUUCUGUCUCCAUGCUAUGCUGAUACGGAUGCUUUGCUGAUGCCAAGCCAAAACAAGAUAAAUCUGCUGACAUUAUGUUGCAGCACUCUGUCUAAGAGAGUUAACUGUGCUUCAACUUGUUGGAUUUUUCAACUAGUAAUUUCGUGGCUACACCAAAUAAAAUUUUUGUAUUAUAUGCACAAAAUACCAGUGGAGGUCUUUCCUGUUAGUAAUCAAUCUGUCAUAGUUAUUCAACCUUUACUGGCGGAAUUAUCUGGACGACACUAAAAUUUAACUGCAAGGUUAGGUGGUGCAUUCUGAGCUGGUGAAUUAACCUAAAGUAGAACAUAAUUUAAACUAAUGUGGUUAAGAUAGGAACAACAGAGCUCCCAUCUUUUCUGACAACUACUGAAUAUGCUAUUCUUGGACUUUACUAUUAGAUAAGGUUCGAUUUUAGAGAUUCUGAGACCAGAAAAGAUGGCAUGCUUUUCAUAUGUUUGUCUUCAGACAUGGAAUUUGAAACUAGCAUAUCCAGGCCUAUGAAUGAAUCAGAUGCUUCUCAUGAUUAUUGAACAGAAAAUCGAGCACUCUGGAAAUAGGCUAAGAUUCCCCUUCCAGGACGCCUUGACAUUACUCGCAUGCAUCGGCUGGGUCAAAAAUUGCAGCAACAUAUGAAUCACAAGAUCAUAUCAAGAACAGCAUACACAUAAUCCACAACAAUCCGUAAUCCCCUAGCGGCAUGUACCCUAAAUCAGCAAUCCCUAACCCUAGCUGCGGGAGGGCCUGCUGGAGGGCGGCGCCGGACCUGCUGGAAGAACCUACGUACCUGCUGGAGGGCGGCGCCGGACCUUCCUCCACGCGAGAACGGCGGCGCGAGGAGGCUUCACGGCGGCUGCGGAUCAAUCUUCAUGGCGGCGCGAGGAGGCUUCACGCGAGAACGGCGGCGCGAGGAGGCUUCCCGGUCUUCAGGGAGAGGAAGCGGCGGCGCGAGGAGGAUCGCCGAAGAGAUGGCGCGCGCGGGAGAGAUGGCGCGAUCCGGAGUUUGGCGCGGGCGAGAUGGGGCGCGUGGGAGAGAGAAGCGGGCGCGGGAGGGAGGAAAAGAAGGCCGAUGCGCGCUCUCUCCGCACGCGGAGGCUCCUCUUUUCCAAGUUGACAAAAUACCAAGUGCAUGUACCAAGUUGUUGGAGAUGAGAAUUUGUGGUUUUGCCAAAAAAAUAUAGAAUACAAAGUGGAUAUUGGGAGCUCUUGGAGAUGCUCUAAGUCCACCGAACAGGACAUCUCCUUUCUCUCAGUUUUCUUUGGUCGCUCUAGAUGUCUUCUCCGGUGACUCUAAUGGCUCUUCUUCCUACAUUGGUGAGUCAGAAAUAAUUAUAGCUUUUUGAACCCAUACCUUAUUGGCUGGCGAGGUGGACUUCGAUGAGGGAGCUUUGUCUUUAAUGAUGUCUUCAUUUACUUCUUCUAUGGUGUCCUUCUCUGGGAACAAAUCUUCAUGUCUUGUUACCUCUCCUUCAUAGUCAGCCCAUCCGUCCUUCUGGAUUUGUUUCUUUUGGUGUUGAGAAUGGCGCCUCCUCCUUGACUUGUUCUUCUAGGGUUCUUCACUCACUCCAUAGUUAGUAAAAUAAUGGCGUACCUUUUCCGAUGGGAAUUGGAAGUGGACUUCUCCGGUCCCGAUGUAGAUGAUCGCUCGAGUGGUGUUGAGGAACGGUCUUCCAAGGAUGAUCGGUGGAUCGUAGUCUUCUUCUCCCAUGUCCAAGACUAGGAAGUCAGUAGGGAUGAAGUGGUCAUCAAUUUGUAUUGGUAUGUCCAUGGCAAUUCCUUCUAGAAACCGGUAGGUUUGUUCCGCCAUCUGUAGCUGCACAAAUGUGGAAUGCAACGACAUCUUUCCAUAUAGAAAUUCAUAGGUUACCUUAUCCAUGAUGUUGAUUUUGGCUCCAGUGUUGCAGACUGCCUUCCGGAAGGAGCAUCGAUUGAUGGUGCAUUCAAUGGUUGGUGCACCUAGGUCUUCUCUCUUGAUCAAGUAGGGAGACAUGAGUAGAUGGCCAUGGUCUUUCUCAAUUGCUGUGACCAUCCUACCUUUGGUUGUCAGUUCCUAUUCCUCUGAUUCUUCUUCUUUAUCUUAGCUCCAUCAUAGUUCUGAUGAUCGUACGAUGUCUAGGGAUGUGUAGGAUCUUUGAGUGUAUUCUUUCAGAAUGUUAACGUUUCCUUCCUCCCCUUGAUGUUGAAGCUGAUCUUUGCAUUGUCGGCGUAGAUGAUGGCCUUGGCGGUGCACAAGAAUGGGCGCCCCAAAAUGAUGGAUGCUCUCUCGUCAUCUCUGGUCUCUAUCACCACGAAGUCUGCAGGGACAUAUGAUUGGCCAACUCGGACGUGGAUGUUGUUGACGGUCCUUAAGUACUAAAUUUAACUAUCAACUAAACAUGGAAAAGGAUCAAUAUGCACCAAACAUCUAGAAUUAGGGUUUUAUCUGACAGAAUUCCACGAGCAUUGGUGUUUAUCUAUUUCUGCAGGGGGUUAUCAGAAAAUAUGGAGAGAAGGCCCACAUGUCAUGUCUACAACGAGAUAAUUACGUGCCGUGCAAUUUUCCUCAAUCUAGAAGAGUCCGGAAGCCACGGGAACGAAUGGGAGACCGAACGGGCUCGGGGGCAGGGCGCCCGCCCACCCCCCUUGGGCGCCCGCCUAGGUCUCGGGGCCAAUCCGAACCAAACUCUUGGAUCGUGCUCCACCGCCUUUGAGGAUGAAUCUAAACCAUGCAAUCAAGGUCGGUUUAUCCAACGGCCCAAAUUUACUUGAUAGGACUAUAUAACCAAGGCCUCUCCACCCCUGGGGGAGAGAAGAGAAGAGGAGAAAUCAUUAUCAAAGGUAGCCAUCAAAGUUAGGGUUUAGAGCUUCUCUCCCAUAGAGAAUUAGAAUUAGCUACUCCCUAAUCCUUCAAGUUUAGAGGUUUGAUUAGAUAGCAAUUAGAGAAGUAGAGCACUACGCUCUGGAUUCGGAUCUUCUGUAAUAAAGAUUGGUAUUAUUCAUAUCUUUCUCUAAUACUUUGUUCUAAUUGCAUUAUGUCUCUAUUUAUUAUGUUCUUAGUUUGCUCUAGUUCUAUAUUUGAUAUAGUUAUGAUUGAUAAUGAGUUUAUGUAUAAGUUUGCAAAGCGCUUAGCUCUUGACGCGAGGGAGUAGAUUGUGACUUAGUAGAUAGUAGAUAACUUAGAAUCCAUUCUCCAGCUAAUCCGGCGUCAGCUACAUAUAUGAGGAGUAGUCUAUUUUCUAAUCGCUGUGUUAUUUACCCUUGAACUUAUAAUCCAUUAUCAUUAUCGUUAUGGUUUACCCCCUGCCAAAGUAAGUGACUGUGUGACGAGUUUCUCAUUAGUAAUCAUGUUCUUGCAAGUUUAUCUCUAGUCUAUGCCUUGAUAGAUUUUGUCCUUAUUUUAAUUUCAUCCCUUUUGUUCUCUUAAGCAAAAUUAUAAAUAACGAUACCUGGAAUACUUAUCCUGGUGAAAUGCUACAGUCAGAAAAUCAGUCAAGGUUAUUCACAUAAAAUAUUAGACUAGACUAUAGAGAAAUAAUUGCACAAAACAGCUACUAAGUGAGAAAUCAUAACAAGGCACCUCUGCUGUUGACAGUCCUUAAUGCUCACAUUUAACCGUCAACUAAUCAUGGAAAAGGAUCCAAAUGCAACUAACACCCAGACUUAGGGUUUUAUCUAACAGAAUUCCAUGAGUUUUGGUGUUUGUCUAUUUCUGCAGGGGGUUAUCAGGAAAUACGGAGGAAAGGCCCACACGUCGGGUUUACAUAGAGAUAUUAACGUACCGCGCAAUUUUCUAUCAUCUAGAAGACUCCAGAAGCCACGGGAACGAACGGGAAGCCGAGAGGGCUCAGGGACAGGGCGCCCGCCCUACUCCCUAGGGCGCCCGCCCACCUUCAGUGUCCAAUUCGGACCCGUUUCGCGGAUCACGCUCCACCGACCUAAAGGAUCAAGGAAAACCGUGCGAUUAAUGUCGGUUUGAUCCGAUGACCCAGAUUCAUCUGAAAAGACUAUAUAAGCAAGGCCCCCUGGCCCCUAGAGAUCAUACCUCUUCUACAGAAUCAAUGUUAGGGUUUCAAUUCUUCAUCCAUGUAGAGAGGAUCCCUCUAGUUCAUCUAGUUCUAGCUCUAGUUCAUCUAGUUCUAGUUCAUCUAGUUCUAGUUCCUCUAGUUCUAGUUCUAGUUCGUUCCAGUUGUAAUCUAGAAAUUAAAGAGAGAGAAGAGGAGAGCGGAGGAGGAGCCGGAUCUGUCGGAUCUUCCUCAACAUUGUACUUUUGCAGCAAUUGGUUCGUUCUUCAUCGUUGUCCAAGUUCUUCAAUUCAUAAUUCUUGAGUUCUUUAAUUACUUUUAUUUACAUUCAAUUUAUUUAUUGGAUUCCCGCUUGCAUCAAGUGCUCUAGUCUUUAUAACGCUAGAGUAGUAAUUAAUAGGUUAGACGUGGUGUUUAGUCUUGCAAUUACCUGGAAUUGCACCCAAUCCUGCGGAUUGUUGUGGUAGCCCUAGGGUAGUGACAGCCCUAACGGUCGACGUAUUCCACCUCGUUUGUAGGACCGUAGUCAGAGCUUCCUAGCCCCCUUCUCAUCUCUUUCUGUGGUUAGUGUUCUGAUGUCCCAAAAUAAAUAAUCUUUGAAGUAAUUCUUGACUCUUAGAUCAACUAGAGAACUCCCAGGAAACUUCCUCUCUUCCCACCAAAAAUAAUUAUAUAGUUAUCCUUGGGCGAUCUUGAAUCUUAAUUAGUACACUCACGUUCCAUGUGGAAAAUCGAUACUCUAAAAUACUCUCGGGUGAAGGCUACAUCGAUAUCCGUGCGCUUGCGGAUUUUUCUGUUUGCGUUUAAAAUACCCAACAAGCUUUCUGGCGCCGUUGCCGGGGAACGGUAGCUGUGCUAGUUUUGAACCAAGUCGUCCGUGUAUCCUUUUUCUUUUCCUUUUUUACCACAUUCACCUUACCAUUUUCACCACACCACACGGAUUUCACUCCAAGCAUUAAUGAGCAUGGAAUUUAUUUCAUAGCCACUUCAUUUACUCAAUGAUCAUAUGCAACAUCUUCCCAAUCUAUUGGUCUCUCCAACAUCACCACAUUCGAGAUCUCCAACCCCCUCAUCCUUUCUAUUUAUAAAAACUUUAAAAGGGCAGUUGUCGAUACAUAUAUCCAUAAUAAAUAUUGCAGAUCUCGUUGGGUUGAUCUUGAUGUAGGUCAGCGUUGGAGGGGAAACCGCUUCGCCGACAUAAAUUGAUGGUUUCCCAAGGACAAGCUUAGUGUCCUAAAAUAAGCACUGAUCAGAUCGUAACAUGAGCUUUUAAUUAUUUGCAACAUUACCUUGUGUAUUGAGCAUAUAAGCAUAAUUAUAAAAAAAUUCCUUCGGGUAUUCUUGUCACUAACCUUUCCAGGAUUGGAGCAAGAAGAUCGGAUGAAUGACAAGCACAAGGUAUGUCCAACCAAUCAUCAUACAACAUUGAAAUAAAUUCAUCCAAACUUGAAUUUUGCAAAAUUCAAGCUUGGGGGAGUACUUUACAUAAAAACAUCCUUUGCCGUGUUGCUAUGUUGGUUGUCCCUACCUUUGAGACAUGCUCAAAUUGUUAAAUACAAAGCACACUACUUCAUCUCCACUUGAGUAGAUCUCUAUAAAUGCUCUCAUGCUACCCUUACUUGCUUUAGUAUAUGUCUAGGUUUGGAGUAGUUUCAUUUAUCUCUUAAUUAAGCAUGGAGCUUAGUUUAGGGCUGAUGAUCUUACUUCCAAGGGAGUUUAAAUUAAGCAUGAUGCUUAGGUUAAAAUGCCCUCCUAAAUCAAAUUAGACAUGGUGUCUAGGUUGAUUUUUGAGCCGAUAGUAUGGUAUAGUAGAUAUUGGAUAUUUUGUUGGACUAACCCCUGCAGGAAAAUUUUCAAUAUCGACCUGGGAAGUCCUGAGAUAAACUCACAUUGGAGACAAAGAGAGAGACACAUGAAGUUUAACAAUUCACACAAGGAAGGCAUAGCUCACAAGAGAUGAUCCAUGGAGGGUGCCACAAACACGAUGCACAACCGCUAAUUAAGGAAAGCUUCCAUACGGUGAUACUGUACCAUCACUCUUCAAGUAAGGUAACAUCUUAAGGUACUUGACUAUCACUUUUAUAAGCUUCUCCUUGGUUCUGGCAUUCAUAUGAAUAAGAGAGACAAACAUGUAUGAUUUACAACUCUAGAUUAACCAACCCAAUCGAUUCAAUAUGUUUAGUCCUUCCACCUUUGUGAUCCCACACUCCUAAUCAUAUGAGCUAAAAUGUUGCACACGCAAUCUUUGGAAGAUAUAUUUAUAAAAAAAGAUAAGUAUAGAUAGAUUAUCUUUCCAUUAGGUUGAGCAAUCUGAUCUGACAAAUGUUUUAAAUGCUACACUCAUGAUCUUGUUAUCCAUCAACUUUGUCUUGCUCACUAUGCUUAAGGUUAGAGAGAACAAAUACACUUUUGGUUCUGUUGGUGUUUUCCACCAACAAGGCCCAUGCACUUGAUCUCUGCCCUGUCUCUAUGAGCAGGUACACUUCGAGCAAAACAUGGAAGAGUUUUACAACUCCUAGACUCCACCAAGUGAAGAACCUAGAUCUACGAGCACAAACACACUGGAGAUACUGGACACUCAGGCAAUCACUGCCCUGAGAUGCUUAAGGAAGUAACUACUAGAGUAACCCCGUUGUAGAAGUAAUUACUGACCUUCUGCCGGUCAAGAGAGGCGAUCUAGGACACACCGUCAUCCCGAUCUCCAUCGGCAUGGUAAACUUCCUAGAAGCACUCUGCGACUUUGGCUCCAGCGUCAACAUUAUGCCCAGGGUACUCUAUGAAAAACUCUUUACACAUCCUUGAUUAGAAACAACCAUGUGUUUGUAGCUUGCAGAUCGUACGCUAAGUUCCCCAAAGGGAAUAUUGAAGAACCUCUGCAUUCGAGUUGGUACCUUGUACGCCCCAGCAGACUUCGUGGUGAUAGAGACUAGUACUGAUGAGAGGGCACCCAUCAUUCUAGGGAGGCCAUUCCUGAACACCUCAGGAGCUGUCAUCUACGCUAGUGCUGCCAAGAUCCAUUUCUACAUCAAGGGGAGGAAGGAGACGUUUCCUUCAAGAACAAGAUUACACAAAUCUCAGAGCAAUCCAGACAUGAACCAAGGAAGAGGACCAACAGGAGGAACAGGAACAAGCAAGUGUGGACCGAGUCAGCUAAGAUGGUGUUGGGUAUUUUAAACGCAAACAGAAAAAUCCGCAAGCACACGGAUACCGAUGUAGCUUUCACCCGGGAGUAUUCCAGAGUAUCGAUUUUCCACAGAGAACGUGAGUGUACUAAUUAAGAUCCAAGAUCGCCCAAGGAUAACUAUAUAAUUAUUUUUGGUGGGAAGAGAGGAAGUUUCCUGAGAGUUCUCUAGUUGAUCUAUGAAUCAAGAAUUACUUCAAGAUUAUCUAUUUCGGGACAUCAGAACACUAACCACAGAAAGAGAUGAGAAGGGGGCUAGGAAGCUCCGACUACGGUCCUACAAACACCGAUCCGAAUGAGGUGGAAUACGUCAACCAUUAGGGCUGUCACUACCCUAGGGCUACCACAACAAUCCGCAGGAUUGGGUGCAAUUCCAGGUAAUUGCAAGACUAAACACCACGUCUAAUCUAUUAAUUACUACUCUAAUGUUUCAAAGAUUAGAGCACUUGAUGCAAACGGGAAUCCAAUAAAUAACUUGAAUGUAAAUAAAAGUAAUUAAAGAACUCAGGAAUUAUGAAUUGAAGAACCUAAAGAACGAUGAAGAACGAACCAGUUGCUGCAAAAGUACAAUGUUGAGGAAGAUCCGAUAGAUCCGGCUCCUCCUCCUCCGCUCUCCUUUUCUCUCUCCCUAUUUUCUAGAUUACAACUAGAACUAACUAGAACUAGAACUAGAACUAGAUGAACUAGAACUAGAUCUAGAUGAACUAGAGAUAGAACUAGAAGAACUAGAGGGAUCCUCUCUACUUGGAUGAAGAAUUGAAACCCUAACUUUGAUUCUGUAGAAGAGGUAUGAUCUCCAGGGGUCAAGGGGUCUGGUUUUAUAGUCCCUUCAAGUGAAUAUGGGCCGUUGGAUCAAACCGACAUUAAUCGCAUGGUUUUCCUUGAUCCUUUAGGUCGGUGGAGCGUGAUCCCCGAAUUGGACUAUGUUUGGGCACUGUAGGUGGGCGGGCGCCCUGCCUCCGAGCCCGAUUGCCUUCCCGUUCGUUCUCGUGGCUUCUGGAGUCUUCUAGAUGGUAGAAAAUUGUGUGGUACGUUAAUACCUCUAUGUACACCCGACAUGUGGGCCUUUCUUCCAUAUUUCUUGAUAACCCCCUGCAGAAAUAGACAAACACCAAAACUCGUGGAAUUCUGUCAGAUAAAACCCUAAGUCUAGGUGUUGGUUCCAUUUAGAUCCUUUUCCAUGAUUAGUUGAUGAUUAAAUAUGAGUAUUAAGGACCAUCAACAAGCUCCCCCAAGCUUAACCUUUGCUCGUCCCUAACAAAAGAUGAACUCAAGAGUUUCUGCAGUGGUUUCAUGCCUUAAAGAUACACAUGCGUUCAACAAGAUCUUAUCUCUAGGUUAGGGUAAACUGUUAAGAUUUAAACUUACUCAUUUUACCUUCCACCAUGGGCUUGCAACCAUCACUUGUGUCUUGAGUAGUUAAAAGAUAGAACGGUCUAGUCAAGCGCCAUGUCUCUUGCUCUUCGAUUAACUUUAGCUCUGGAGUUUUUGCCGAUUUUCAAAUAAAACUCAGAGGUUCCUUGUAUGACUCUCUCUAGUCUCUCUUUUGUGGUAUUUCUGGAUCCUUACCAAGGUAGUAAUGGUGUAUGCCUUCUCUCAAAGUAUGUGGUAUUUUUGGUAUGAGGCAUAGUGACAUUGCCUUCUCUCUCACCCUACUCUAAUAAGGCUUUUGAUAUCUGGAGCUCAUAGGUGGGAGACAACUAAUACAUACUUACAAGACAUUUAUUGCAUAGUCAAACCAUGGAUCUAGAAGAACAAGUCAAUAAGUCAAAUCAAGGUGUGCAUGUGUGGCGAAUGAAUGAUGUAUGGUGAUGAUUGUUGAUAUUUGGGAACGCAAUAAGGAAUUGAUCCGCAAGCACACGGAUAUCGGUGAGCACUUCACCCGGGAAAUUAUCCAGAGUAUCGUAUUUAUUUUUUUACAACUAGGAGAAAGAGUGCAUCUGACUAACCAGUCUAUUACUACUAACCUUUAGGCACAAAGAAUGUCUUUCGCUGUGAGUGAUAAAUAGAGAAGACUGCAACCGUAGUCUCCUUCUAACCUUGGUAAGGAUGAUCGACUGUUCUAAUGGGGAGGCUAACGGAAUCUAGACACCACAAAGGAUGUUCAACCCGCACCUAUAAACCCUAUCCUUCCUGCGAACGAGAUGUGAUCUACAAAGGUAGCUUAGAAUUGUCACGUUCCUCACUACUACCACGGUCCAGCUAGUCAGGGAAUAUCUAUGAGUACCCCAACCUAAACACCACGUUUACGCCAGUAAUGAUUACUCUAAACUCUACGCGAAGAGAUUAAAGUAAACUCAUAAACCAUAAGAACAAUAAAACAAGAACUUACUAGAAUUUAGAAGUCGAAUUACUAAAGAAUCCUAGGAGCAAGCUUCGGGUUAGGAGAACUUGAUCCCGCAGGUACAAGCUUGGAGUAGACACCGACAGGUCGGGCUUCCUCCACUCCACACCUCCACUCUAUCUCUCUCAAUCUAGUAGAAACUAGAAGAUCUAUUUCUACCUUACAUUGAUUGCUAAGCCUAAAAAGAAAUAUUAAUUAGAGAAGAGGUUUUCCUUCGAGGGCACCCCUCAGUCUCUAUGAUAAUUUCUUCAUGUCUUCUCCAGGGGCCAGGGGGCCUUUCUUAUAUAGUCCUCCCCUUCUAUGCGUUUUUGGGUCGAUAGGCGAGGUGGUACUAUGUUUUUCCUUGAUCCAAUAGGUCGGUGGAAUAUCCCGAGCGAAGAGAGUCCUGAUCUGGCUCCAGAGGGGGGCGGGCGCCCAGGCUACCAGGGCGGGCGCCCUGGGCCUGGCCCAGUUUUGCCUCCGCUUCGGUCUCGUGGCUUCUGGAGUCUUCUAGAUGAUGUAAAAUUGCGCGGUGCGUUGAUAUCUCUAUGUAAUCCCGACAUGUGGGCCUUUCUUCCUUAUUUCCUGAUAACCCCCUGCAGAAACAGAUAAACAACAAAACUCGUGGAAUUCUGUCAGAUCAAACCCUAAUUCUAGGUGAUGGUUGCAUAUUGGUCCUUUCUCUUGUUUAUUUGAUAAUUAAAAUUGAUACUUAAGAACCAUCAACAAAUACCCCCAUACUUAGGCUUUUACUCGUCCUCGAGAAAAGGAUGGUUAAGAAAAAUAUCUGGGGUAAACAUUUAAAAACAUUCUUUAUAUAAUUGCAGGGUGUUAAAAAUUCACUGUGUACCAUAGUCAGGGAUGUAUAUGGUUAAGAGUAAAGAUCCUUUCUUCUCAAUCCUGCCACUUGGAGCUUUUGUAUAUUUUUGAAAGAAAGUUAGCAUACCUUUUUAUCCUCAUAGGUUCUCUCAGAUCACUCAUUAUCUUUUAUAUAUAUCUCACUGAGGCUGUUUUAUUUUGCAAAAAUUCUCAAGCAUACUUACUUUGCAUUUAUUGCCUGAUCAAAACGGGAUCCGAGGAGGGGAAUGUCAUAUUCUUAGAUCAAAGACUUUGGAAAUUAAAAACUUUGUCAACUCUUGCUGGCAUAUUGCUUAUUAGAGGGACCAUGGGCUAUCAUUUUUUUUUAAGUGGAUACCGAGGUACCCCUAAUUCUACUGCCGGACACUUGUCCAUUUUUCUGCGAGGUUGUCGAGCACUUGCUCCUUUUUAUUUCCUCGAAAUAUUUCUAUUUUUGCAUAGCCCAUGCCUCUAAUGCAAUAAUACUUCGGAAGAGUGAAUCUUACUGAAAUAAUGUCUUGAUCUUAGGAGCAUGAUAAAUCUCUCAACAAGGGUCUAACUCAUUUUGAACAAACUCAAUACAGAGCAGAUAGCUUUUAUAAUCAUAAUUAAUAUUUUCAGUUUUAUCAGGCAUAUGAAACACUGAGGAUGGUAGCUAGAAAUUUGAAUAUUUUGAAAUAAAUUCUCCAAGCAACAAUGAUAUCAAGAAUAAGAAACUCAUACUCUAUCAUCACAUAUUCCAAUUGACUUAAGUAACACAGGGUUUUAAAAUGAUUUUAUAAUAAUUGCAAGUUUUUAGGAAAUAUCACAGAUUGAGAUUAAUCAUGAUUAGAAAUAUUUUAAUCCUUUUAUUUUAUCAUGUCGGAAACAGUAAUCUGCAUAAUCCAGAAUAAAUGUAUGUGUAAAGUAAAGUGUGCAAAGUGUGUACCUGAAUUGAGGAGUGGUGUAGUCGGAGUGUGUUUAGCAUGUCGAGGGAUCUCCCCCAUACUUGUUUUCUGCUUUCUUGCACAAAAAUAAAGUAGAGACACACAAGACAUAAUAAUAAUAAUAAUAAUACUCUUUAUUAAACUCGAGGCAUUUAUUACAAAAGACUGAUGGCAAACUGAUGAUAAUAGCAAACUGAUGAUAAUUGCAAACCUAAACCGAAUUUAAAGAUAAAUAACUAAGAUGCAUUGCCUCAAAGUCUAAUCUAGAUAACUUAACGGCGCUCUAAUUCCUUGAUCUUCUUGUUGGCACUGGCAAGAUCCUGCCUAAGGCCUAGUAUAACGGUGUUGUGGUUAGAGAGCUGCCUAGUGAGGGAAUUAAUCGAGGACUGGAGGUCUAUGAUAACUCUAUCUAGCCUGCGAACUUCCUCAUCAAUAUCCAUUAUAGUCUUGCGACGCUUGGGAGGUGUCUCAAAAGCAUUGAGAGAGUGCUUCGGGGCUGCCUUUGGAGGGACGAAACGGACUUUGGUUGCUCUAAUCCCUUCAAAGUAAGGCCUUUCCUCCUCUAUGGUGUAGCGAAUACUGCUGAUCUCGCCGCUCCGGUUGGUCUUGACUCCAACGACCCUCUCAUUGGGUCUAGGUGGAAGGAUCCUUGUGUCGGUUGGCACCUUGAUGGUGGUCUUCGUCUUGGAUGAUGAUCCUGUGAGGAGUAGGGGUUGUGGUGGUGCGGUGAGAACUGGUUGAGCAUGGUAAGAUUGGGCGGAGCUACGUUGGCGUAAUGGCAUGGCUUCUAGCUGACGCUCUGUGUUGGCCGGGACGAGAGCACGGGCAUCGGGGUCUUCCACAGGCUCUAUGUUGAGGUUGAAGGGGACGACUUCCCAAUCAUCGUGGUACUUCUCGGCCAUUGGAAUAGCAAGGAACUAAUAAAAUUUUAAUUGAAGGAGAGCUAAUCAAGCUCUAAUUGAAGGAGAGAAAGCUCGGUGGCUUGGUGUUUGAAAACUGAGGUCAGGGGUCUGUUUAUAUAGGGGUCAAAAGGGUGCCUCUAUGGGUUGUUCGGGUUACUCCCAUCGAUGUGCGUGCAAAACUUUCCAUCUGAGGGAUUAUUCGGAUCACCCUAAGUGCAUUUUCCAUAACAGAGAAAGUCAGGACCGAGAGGGAACAGGGGCUGGGCGCCCGCCCUCUCUCUGGCCCCUCUGUGGGCCCACUUCUCCGAGCGUGUUUCUAGAUGCGAAAUUAUUUAGAAAAAUAUAUAUAUGACCCAAAACCAUCAGACCAAAAAUAUCGGGCUCUAAUUCUCCAUGGGAAGGUAAAAAUGGACUACGUCUAUUUCUUCAAAUUCCUCAUUGGGCUCUAAAAAUAAUUUAAGACGUUGACCAUUUACCUUGAAUAACGUACCUUCGCUAUUUUGAAGUGUGAUAGCUCCGUGGGAUGAUGAAUUGAUUACCUUGAAUGGUCCUUCCCAUUUGCUCCGGAGUUUUCCAUGCCCGAAAAGCUUCACCCUGGAAUUAAAAAUUAAUACCUUAUCUCCGGGUGUGAACUCCUUCUUCUUGAUUCUCUUGUCAUGCCACCUUUUGACUCUUUCUUUGUAGAUUUUUGAAUUGUGAUAUGCCUUCUCUCGCCAUUCUUCCAAUUCUGAUAGUUGCAUUCUUCUAUAAUCUCCAGCAACAUCCGGGUCCAUAUUCCAUCUCUUUAUGGCCCAAUGUGCUUUGAACUCUAGUUCAACAGGUAGAUGGCAAGUCUUCCCGUACACCAAUUGGUAUGGAGACAUUCCAAUUGGGGUCUUGUAUGCUGUCUGGUAUGCCCAGAGUGCAUCGGGUAACUUGUCUUUCCACGCCGUUCCCAUUUCAUUUACUGUCUUCUGAAGAAUAUUCUUGAUUUGUUUGUUGGAAGUCUCUGCUUGGCCACUUGUCUGAGGAUGAUAAGGGGUAGCGACGUUGUGACGGAUUCCAUGUCUUGAUAGAUAUUGCUUGAAGCGUUUGUCGAUGAAGUGUGCUCCUCCAUCACUUAUCACUACUCUGGGGACUCCAAAUCUUGGAAAUAUAAUUUCUUCAAACAUCCUCUUUGAACUGACGUUGUCGGCAUGCUUGCAAGGUAAUGCUUCUACCCACUUGGAGACAUAGUCAACUGCCACCAAGAUGUACUCACACUUCUUUGAUGGAGGAAAUGGACCCAUGUAGUCUAUUCCCCAGACAUCAAAGAGCUCAAUCUGAAGGUUGUUGGUGAGUGGCAUUGCAUCCCUUGUAUUUAUGUUUUCGUGCCUUUGACAUGGCCCACAUCUUCUGAUAUAUUGCUUCGUGUCUUCAUACAUUGUAGGCCAAUAGAAUCCACACUGCCAGAUUUUUGAAUGUGUACGGAAUGCUCCAUAGUGACCUCCAUAUGGUGAUGAAUGACAUCUGUCGAUGAUCUUCCAUCCUUCCUCAGUGGUCACACAUCUCCUGAGUAAGCCGUCAGAGCAUACUCGGAAGAGGUAUGGCUCAUCCCAUAUAUGUGAACGACUUUCUUGAAUAAGCUUCUUCUUGUUUGCUCCUGGUGGUACAUACCCUGAAACCAUAAAAUUAACAAUAUCUGCAUACCAGGGGUCAGACCUGUUAAUCCCGUAGAGCAUGUCGUCCCGGAGUGAAUCAUUGAUGGGGGUUUCCUGUGGACUCUUAAAAUACAUUCUAGACAAGUGAUCAGCAACAGAAUUUUCUACUCCCUUUUUAUCUUUUAUUUCUAAGUCAAAUUCUUGGAGUAAUAAAAUCCAUCUAAUCAAGCGAGGUUUAGCAUCUUUUUUAGUGAGCAAAUAUUUUAGUGCAGCAUGAUCAGUGUAAACAAUUAUUUUAGCUCCGACUAAAUAAGAUCUAAAUUUAUCUAUGGCAAAGACAACAGCCAGAAGCUCUUUUUUCAGUGGUUGCAUAAUUAAGUUGAGCUCCUGUCAGAGUUUUACUGGCAUAAGCAAUUGCAUGAUGCUUCUUAUCUUUAGUUUGUCCCAAUACUGUCCCCACAGCAUAAUCACUAGCAUCACACAUAAUUUCAAAAGGCAACGACCAAUCAGGGGGUUGAAUGAUUGGUGCAGAGAUGAGUGCUUUCUUUAAUAAAUUAAAAGAUGUUAGACAUGCAUCAUCAAAUUCGAAAGGAGCAUCCUUGGCUAGCAAAAGAGUAAGUGGUCUAGCAAUAAAUGAAAAAUCUUUUAUGAAUCUACGAUAAAAACCAGCAUGGCCAAGAAAGCUUCGAAGUCCUUUUAUAUUCACAGGUGGAGGUAGUUGUUCAAUUACUUCAAUUUUGGCUUUGUCUACCUCAAUACCUCUUUCAGACACUAAGUGUCCCAGCACUAUUCCUUCCCUAACCAUAAAAUGACAUUUUUCCCAAUUAAGGAUUAAGUGCUUUUCUUCACAUCUUUGCAAAACCUUGUCUAAGUUUUCAAGACAACUAUCAAAAGUUUUUCCAUAAACAGAGAAAUCAUCCAUGAAAACUUCCAUAAUCUCUUCAAUCAUAUCAGAAAAUAUAGACAUCAUGCAUCUUUGAAAAGAAGCUGGUGCAUUACAUAACCCAAAAGACAUUCUACGGUAAGCAUAAGUUCCAUAAGGGCAUGUAAAAGUGGUUUUGCUUUGAUCAUCGGGAUGGAUCGGGAUUUGGUGAUAUCCUGAGUAUCCAUCUAAGAAACAGAAUAACGAAUGGUUUGCUAACCGCUCUAGCAUCUCAUCUAUAAAAGGUAAAGGAAAGUGAUCCUUUCUCGUGGCUUUAUUUAGUUUUCUAUAGUCUAUGCACAUCCGCCAUCCUGUGACGGUGCGUUGCGGAAUUAGCUCAUUCUUUUCAUUCAUAAUAACUGUCAUGCCUCCCUUUUUGGGCACAACUUGUACUGGGCUCACCCACUCACUGUGCGGCACAGGAUAUAUAAUCCCUGCAUGCAGCAGCUUUAUAACUUUCUUUUUAACUACCUCUCUCAUAGUGUUGUUAAGUCUACGUUGGGGUUCUCGAGAGGGUGUAACAGAAGGAUCUGUUGGAAUACGAUGUGUACAAAUCAUAGGACUGAUUCCUGUAAGAUCUUGAAGUGAAUAGCCAAAAACCGAGUGAUGUUUCUCAAGGAUGGUCAUUAAUCGCAGAGUUUGAUCCUGAGUGAGUUUAUCGCUAAUGAUCACAGGGAACUCUGGAUUAUUGUUUAGGAAAGCAUAGGUAAGACCGGGUGGUAAAGUUUUAAGUUCUAUGGGGGGGUCUAGGUGUUUCUGCAAACUCAUCUAAGGGUUCAGGCUCAGAAGGUUCGUCUUCUUCUUCAGUGAAGAAAGGAGUUUCGUCUUCUAAGUCUGGUUCAUCUAAAAGCUCUAGAGAUGCAGCCUUUACUUCCUCCAUAGGAUCAGGCAAAAGAUAUGACUCGGCCUUAUUGUUUAAGGAGUGUGAAAUUAUUAUUGGGAAUUUAAAGGUUUUUCCAAAAGAAAUGUGUAGCUUUCCAGUAUGACCUUCAUAAAGGAGUCUUCUAAAAGGUUGUCCUAUCAACAGGUCGAAGUCCCAUGUAUCAAAGAUAUAGAAGUUCAAAUGAACCAUGGAGCCUUCUACCGUAAGAGGUAGGAUAUUAAUAAUUCCAAGACUGGGGACUAAUCGUCCCGAAGAUUCCUUUAUGACCUUUGUUGUGGGGGUUAAGAUAAGAUUUUUAAAUAGUUUAAGUGCAAAUGAUUUAGACAUAAUGUUGAUCCCCACAACAGGAUUAUAGAGAGCAUUAAAUCGAUCAGAAUUAUAAGCACAACGUAUAGUUAUAGAGGGUGUGUCCAAACGGAUCACAUCAGAGGAAAGCUCUGAUUCCUCCAACCAUUCGCUACUCAUUACUGAGAUAAGCUCUCUCAAUUGAUAUUCACUUGGCAAAUAAAUGCUAAACUGGCCGUUUUGGGGUUUGUCAAUAGAAUGGUAGUUUGAAAUAUUUCCAAAAUCGGCAAAAAGAUCGGAUUCUAUAUCCAGCAUGAAGUCCGGUGGUGGAAUUUCUUCCUCUUGUGGCUCAGAACUUGGGAUAGCUAAAGUAGAUGAAGAAUUUGGCAAAGUGUCUACUUCGUCUUCGUAGGUUUCAUCAUGAAGGGUAUUAUCCAUCUCAGCUUCUAGGAUUCUAUCUAGGAUCACUCUAGCUUCAUCAGCAGGGAUGCGAAAGAAAGAACCUCUAGACAUUGUGUGAAGCAUUUGUUUGUGAUUUUUAUGAAGACCUCGAAAAAAGUGGAAUAAAAGAACAGGGUCUUCAAGAUUAAGGUUUGGACCAGAUUCUAAAAGAUCAGAAAAACGUUUCCAGGAUUUUCCCAAAGUUUCAUUAUCUUUUUGUUUAAAAGAUAGGACUCCGAGUCUAAGGUCGGCUAUACGAUCAAGGGAAUAGAAAUCUAGACAAAAGUUGGCUCGUAAAACUCCCCAUUCACCUUGUUGUUGACUUACCUUCUGACUGUACCAUUGUCUAGCUUCUCCCCUUAAAGAAAAAGGAAAAAGCUUCCAACGUAAAGUCUUAUCAGAAAUGCCUUCAAUGCGAAGACAAUCACAUGUUUGCUCAAAAUCUCUAAUAUGAAGGUAAGGGUUUUCGUCUUCCUUUCCCGAAAAAGAUAGGUUUUGAAUCAUGGCAAUCAACCUAGAACUUAACUUAUACUGGGAUGUUUGGAUAGGCUGUGAUGAUUCCCAUGGUAAAAGGUCAGUUGCUAAAGGGAUUGCAGACUCAUGGAUCGAUUUAGAAUUUUGGUUUUCCAUAAGGUAAGAAUAAAGAAAAUAAAUAAAGGAUAUAAAACAUAAGAAAAGAUAAAAGUAUAGAUACAAGCUAGUAGCAAGACACAGGUUAUCUCAGCAACCGUCUUUCUCCCCGGCAACGGCGCCAGAAAUGCUUUUUGAUAUUUGGGAACGCAAUAAGGAAUUGAUCCGCAAGCGCACGGAUAUCGGUGAGCACUUCACCCGAGAAAUUAUCCAGAGUAUCGUAUUUAUUUUUUUACCACUAGGAGAAAGAGUGCAUCUAACUAACCGGUCUAUUACUACUAACCUUUAGGCACAAAGAAUGUCUUUCGAUGUGAGUGAUAAAUAGAGAAGACUGCAACCGUAGUCUCCUUCUAACCUUGGUAAGGAUGAUCUACUGUUUCUAAUGGGGAGGCUAACGGAAUCUAGACACCACAAAGGAUGUUCAACCCGCACCUAUAAACCCUAUCCUUCCUACUAACGAGAUGUGAUCUACAAAGGUAGCUCGGAAUUGUCACGUUCCUCACUACUACCACGGUCCAGCUAGUCAGGGAAUAUCUAUGAGUACCCCAGCCUAAACACCACAUUUACGCUAGUAAUGAUUACUCUAAACUCUACGCGAAGAUAUUAAAGUAAACUCAUAAACCAUAAGAACAAUAAAACAAGAACUUACUAGAAUUUAGAAGUCGAAUUACUGAAGAAUCCUAGGAGCAAGCUUCGGGUUAGGAGAACUUGAUCUCGCAGGUACAAGCUUGGAGUAGACACCGACAGGCCGGGCUUCCUCCACUCUACACCUCCACUCUAUCUCUCUCAAUCUAGUAGAAACUAGAAGAUCUAUUUCUACCUUACAUUGAUUGCUAAGCCUAAAAAGAAAUAUUAAUUAGAGAAGAGGUUUUCCUUCGAGGGCACCCCUCAGUCUCUAUGAUAAUUUCUUCAUGUCUUCUCCAGGGGCCAGGGGGCCUUGCUUAUAUAGUCCUCCCCUUCUAUGCGUUUUUGGGUCGAUAGGCGAGGUGGUACUAUGUUUUUCUUGAUCCAAUAGGUCGGUGGAAUAUCCCGAGCGAAGAGAGUCCUGAUCUGGCUCCAGAGGGGGGCGGGCGCCCAGGCUACCAGGGCGGGCGCCCUGGGCCUGGCCCAGUUUCGCCUCCGCUUCGGUCUCGUGGCUUCUGGAGUCUUCUAGAUGAUGUAAAAUUGCGCGGUGCGUUGAUAUCUCUAUGUAAUCCUGACAUGCGGGCCUUUCUUCCUUAUUUCCUGAUAACCCCCUGCAGAAACAGAUAAACAACAAAACUCGUGGAAUUCUGUCAGAUCAAACCCUAAUUCUAGGUGAUGGUUGCAUAUUGGUCCUUUCUCUUGUUUAUUUGAUAAUUAAAAUUGAUACUUAAGAACCGUCAACAAUGAUGGUAAUAACAAUGGAGAAAGUCUAAUUCUACUUUUGCUCUUUUGAGGGGGUACAUACCUUUCUUGCUCUUUUGAAACUUUUUGAGGAGAAUGAGAUGCUCUAUGUUUUCUUUUUCUCUCACGUGGGUAUCUUGUACCCCUAAUUCUACUAUCGGACACUUGUCCAUUUUUACCUCUCGUCUCACUUUUUCUUUCUUUCGAGGUUCCGGGCACUUGCCCCUUUUUAUUUCCUCGCAUUCUUUCUUUUUUUCUUUCUUUUUUAGAGCACUCAUCUCCUGAAAUAAUAUAGCAAGUGGUAGUAACCAAGAUAACUUGAGCAUUUUUUUCACAGGGAAAAACAGAAAUAGGAGAAUGUUUUUGGCUAUUCUCUCCCGGAUUAGGAGUAGAAUAUUUUUGGGUGGUUCUGGAGAUGGAAAUGGAUGGAUAUAUGUGGAUGGUACUUCUGGAGUAGAAGUAGCAUGUGUGAGUGAACGUGCAAGUGAAUCUUGAUUUAACCACAUGACAAGCUCCUAAGGGUCUACACAGCUUGACCACACUCAAUGCUCAUAAGCAGUAAAGUAAAUGUACGGUUCAAAGUCUAGCAAGCAUGUAUAUAUGGCUGUGGUAGGAAUUUAAACUCUCAUCAUACAGGAACUCAUCAUGCAACAUUUUAAAGAUUUUCAAAGAUAAAUUUCUCCAGAUUUCUAGCAUCUCUAGGAACAGAUAAACAACAGCUCAACCUUCCCAUAUCAUAUCCGUUAACGACUUAGACUUUAGAUCAAGUACUCUCCCCACAAGUUCAGGUUUAGAGCAAAUCUUAAUUAAUAUCAGUCAUUCCUAAACUUGAGAGAGAUUUCAAUUUUGAGAACUAGUCAUGGCAGAGCAACUAUUCAUCAUUUCCAUGUGAGAGCUUAUCAUGAGGGUUCAUAGCAAACUUUACUUAUUUAUUUAUUUAGCAAACUAAGCAAAGAUAUAUAUAUAUAUAUAUAAGCACAAAAUCUUUAUUUGGGUUUUUAUGAUUAUGCAUCUUUUUAUUAUUUGAGUAAAGUAUAAACAUGAGUAGAACACUUAGCUGGAUAAAUGGGGGUGAUCUCCCCCAAGCUGGAUUUUGAUGUAAUUUCUUCUGAUGUAACCAGCAGGUGGCGGAGGUGUAUUUGAAUGUCGGCAGUACCCUGACAGCGAUUAGGAUAUCCUUCGUCUGCUAGUCUUCUUUGAUCCUUGAUUUCUGUGGAGCUCAAAUAGACAACAAAGCUUUGUGGAACUAGUUAAGUGUUAGCAUAAAUAUCUAGCCUUUAUCAUGUUGAGCCUCAUCAAUAGAUAUUACUCUCUUUAGUAGGAUCACAAUCUUAUUUUUAUAUUUUUAUGUUUAUAGGACAGGAAUAUAUCUAUUUUAUUUCUAUGCCACCAUAGUGAAUGUACUUAUGGGUUUUAUGCCAUGAGCAUACUCACAUGGGGCUUACUAUUUUUAACAUUUUUAUUUUCUUUUCAAGAUGAUAUGAACCUGAUUAACUAAGCAAACUAUUUUAAAAUAAUUGAAAGGAAAGGGAUAACUACCAAGUUUACCUCUUGGCAAGGCGUUCGGUGUUUUUAAGUCCUCCGAACGGGACUCUCCGUUUCCUCAUUUGUCGUGGGAUUCGCUGGAUGGCGUAGUCGGUGGUUCCGGCAGUGCCUCCUCUUCGUGUAUAACUAUCUUCUUUCUCCACACCUGACUCGGUGCUACGGUCUUCUCAGGACAGUUCUGUUCAAGCUGUAUGUCUUCAGACCUUACAACUUCUCCUUCAUAGUCUGCCCAUCCGUCCUUGAUGAUUUGCCUCCUCUGGUUGCGGUUGCGUCGUCUUCUUCUUGCCCUGGCCUGCUUAGAGUCUUCAACUAUAUAGUUAGGGUCAGUAAAAUAGCGGCGUACCUUCUCAGAGGGGAAGUGCAUGUGGACUUCUUUGGUUCCAAUGUAGAUGAUUGCUUUAACGGUGCUGAGGAACGGUCUCCUAAGGAUGAUGGAUGGAUCGUACUUGUCUUCUCCCAUGUCAAUAACCUUAAAAUCAUCUGGAGCUGAAUGUAUGUUGGUUGUAGGGACAUGGUUCCAUGUAGGAGCUGAUAAGUGACUGCGGCCAUUAUGUUGACGUCAGAUCUUGUGUCGUAGAGUGUCUUCUGAACAGAAUAUCUGUUUAUUUGUGCACUCGAUGCUUGAAACACCAGGGUCAUCCUUUUUGGUUAGAACGGGUGAUUUAAGUCGACAAUCUUGAUCUCCUUGAACUGCAGUGACCAUCUUAGCUGACUCGGUCCACAUUUGCUUGUUCCUGUUCCUCCUAUUGGUCCUCUUCCCUUGGUUCAUGUCAGGAUUGCUCUGAGAUUUGUGUAGUCUUGUUCUUGAAGGAAAACGUCUCUUGCCUCCCCUUGAUAUAGAAACUGAUCUUAGCAGCACUAGCGUAGAUGACGGCUCUCGAGGUGUUCAGGAGUGGCCUCCCUAGGAUGAUGGGUGCCCUCUCAUCAGUACCAGUCUCUAUCACCACGAAGUCUGCUGGGGCGUACAAGUUACCAACUCGGACGCAGAGGUUCUUCAAUAUUCCCUUGGGGAAACUUAGUGUCCGAUCUGCAAGCUGCAAACACAUGGUUGUUUCUAGUAAAGGAUGUGUAAAGAAUUUUUCAUAGAGUACCCUGGGCAUAAUGUUGACGCUGGAGCCAAAGUUGCAGAGUGCUUCUAGGAAGUCCACCAUGCCGUUGGAGAUCGGGAUGACGGGGCGUCCUGGAUCGUCUCUCUGAGUGUCCAGUAUCUCCAGUGUGUUUGUGCUCGUAGAUCUAGGUUCUUCACUUGGUGGAGUCUGCGCGUUGUAAAAGUCCUUCAUAUUUUGCUCGAAGUGUACCUGCUCAUAGAGACAAGGCAGAGAUCAAGUGCAUGGGCCCUGUUGGUGGAAAACACCAACAGAACCAAAAGUGUAUUUGUUCUUCUCUAACCUCAAGCAUAGUGAGCAAGACAAAGUUGAUAGAUAAUAAGAUCACGAGUAUAGCAUUUAAAACAUUUGUCAGAUCAGAUCACUCAACCUAAUGGAAAGAUAAUCUAUCUAUACUUAUGUUUUUUUAUAUAUAUCUUCCAAAGAUUGAGUGUGCAACAUUUUAGCUCAUAUGAUUAAGAGUGUGGGACCACAAAGGUGGAAGGACUAAACAUGUUGAAUCGACCGGGUUGGUUAAUCUAAAGUUGUAAAUCAUACAUGUUUGUCUCUUUUAUUCAUGUGAACGCCAGAACCAAUGAGAAGCUUAUAAAAAGUGAUAGUCAAGUACCUUAAGAUGUUACCUUACUUGAAGAGUGAUGGUACAGUAUCACCUUGUGGAAGCUUUCCUUUCUUAGCGGUUGUGCAUCGUGCUUGUUGUUGACACUUGCUAACACCACUUGAAUACUAGGUUGUCAUCCCCAGCAUGGCACUAGAGUGUACUAUGGUAUUUAUAUGCACACAGAUAAUCCGCAAGCGCACGGAUACCGUUGAAGCUUUUACCCGGUUAAAGGUUUUAUCGUAUCCAUAGGGAAAUGGGAGAACUGAUCUACGCUCUAACUUAACCAAGAUAAGUAAAUAGGUGUGAAUAGGAAAGAUGGUAGAAUCGAAUAAGAACAAUAUUAAAGGUAAGAUAACAGUGAGUGAUAAUAUGGGAAUAGAGAGUAGAGCAAUUCUAGUAUAUGGGCGAUGGUAGCAGAAUAGAGAGGAUAACUAUGGUUUCUCUACUUCAAAGGGGUAUGUCUAUGUCUAGGACGAACCACGUGAUAAGAGUACACCACAAAGGAUGCUUAUCCAUAGGCCGAUAAACCCUACCCGUCCUGCUAACGAGAGGUGGACUACAGGGGACCAACGUAACUGUCACCUACGAGGCCUACCACACGAUCCAGCUAGUCAGGGGAUAUCCACAAGUAAUCUAGGUCUAAGCACCACGCUUACACCUAUACUACAACUCUAACCUAUAGGGUCCUAUAGAUUAGAAGUACUCAAAAGAGUUGUGAACCAGAACAUACAUGAUUAGUAAUUGCAUAAUGAAUUAGAAGUAGAUUACCAGAGUCAUCCCAUGAGCAAGCUUGAUUACAGCUUGAUCAUGGCGAAGUACAACCGGAGGAAGAACCGACAGGCCGGCCUCUCCUCUAAUCCUCCUUCGCUCUCCAUCUCGCUACUAUCUAGAUCUACUCUAGUUUAGAGAAGAGAGGAGAGCUCUCAUCUCUAAACCCUAGCUUUUGCUCUGUCUAUGAAUAAUGAAUAAUGAUCAAGGGGUGUGCCUCCUCCAGGGGCCAGGGGGUCUGGUUUUAUAGUCCCCUCAAGUGAACCUGGGCCGUCGGAUCAAACCGACAUUGAUUGAACGGUUAUUCUUGAUCCUUUAGGUUGGUGGAGCAUAAUCCGCGAGAUUGAGCGUGAUUGGCCGAAAUAGGUGGGCGGGCGCCCUAAGGACUUGGGCGGGCGCCCUGUCCCUGACUCCGUUCGGUCUCCGCUUCCUUCCCGUGGCUUCUGGAGUCUUCUAGAUGUAAGAUAAUUGCGCAGCACGUUAAUAUCUCUAUGUAAUCCCGACGUGUGGGCCUUUCUUCCGUAUUUCCUAAUAACCCCCUGCAGAAAUAGACAAACACCAAAACUCGUGGAAUUCUGUCAGAUAAAACCCUAAGUCUAGAUGGUGAUUUCAUUUGGAUCCUUUUCUUUGUUUAUUUGAUAAUUAAAUUUGAUACUUAAGGACCGUCAACAAACUCCCCCAAGCUUACCUCUUGCUCGUCCCUGAGCAAGGAUAGACUCAGCAAUGGAUCAGAAGUUGUUGCAAUAUAUUAAAAAUUUGACGGUACACAUGCUUUUUAAAUAAGUUCUCAUCUCUGAGUUAGAGUAAACUGUCAAGAACUAAAACUUACUUACUUUACCUUUCACCAUGGGACUUGUAACCGUCACUUCUGUCUUGAGUAGUUAAAAGAUAGAACAGUCUAGCCAAGUGCCAUGUCUCUUAUUCUUGAUCAGCUAUAGCUCUGGAGUUUUUGUAGAUUUUCAAAUAAAACUCAGAGAUUCCUUUGUAUGACUCUCUCAUAUCUCUCUUUUGUGGUAUUUCUGGAUCCUUACCAAGGCAGUGAUUGUAUAUGACUUCUCUCAAAAUAUGUGGUAUUUGUGGUAUAAGGCAUAGUGACAUUGCCUUCUCUCUCACCCUACUCUAAUAAGGCUUUAAUAUCUGGAGCUCAUAGGUGGGAGAUAAAGUAUACAUACUUACAAGACAUUUAUUGUAUAGUCAAACCAUGGAUCCAAAGAAACAAAUCAAUAAGCCAAAUCAAGAUGUGCAUGUGUGGCGAAUGAAUGGUGUAUAGUGAUGAUGGUGAUAACAAUGGUGAAAGUCUAAUUCUACUUUUGCUCUUAUGAGGGGAUACAUACCUUCCUUGCUUUUUGAAACUUUAUGAGGAGAAUGAGAUGCUCUUCUUUUUCUUUCCUCUCAGGUGGGUAUCUUGUACCCCUAAUUCUACUGUCGGACACUUGUCCAUUUUUACCUCUCGUCUCACUUUUUCUUUCUUUCGAGGUUCCGGGCACUUGCCCCUUUUUAUUUCCUCAUUUAUUUUUUUCUUUUCUUCUUUUUUUUAGCACUCAUCUCUUGAGAUAAUAUAGCAAGUGGUAGUAACCAAAAUAUUUGGAGCAUUUAUUUCACAGGGAAUAACAGGGAUAGGAAAAUGUUUUUGACUAUUCUCUCCCGGAUUAGGAGUAGAAUAUUUUUGGGUGAUUCUGGAGAUGGAAAUGGAUGGAUAUAUGUGGAUGGUACUUCCAGAGUAGAAGUAGCAUAUAUGAGUGAACGUGCAAGUGAAUCUUGAUUUAACCACAUGACAAGCUCCUAAGGGUCUACACAGCUUGACCACACUCAAUGCUCAUAAGCAGUAAAUAAAUGUGUGGCUCAAAGUCUAGCAAGCAUGUAUAUAUGGCUGUGGUAGGAAUUUAAACUUUCAUCAUACAGGAACUCAUCAUGCAACAUUUUAAAGAUUUUCAAAGAUAAAAUUCUCCAGAAUUCUAGCAUCUCUAGGAAUAGAUAAACAGCAGCUCAACCUUCCCAUAUCAUAUCCGUUAACAACUUAGAUUUCAGAUCAAGUUUUCAUCCCACAAGUUUAGAUCUAGAGCAAGCUUUAAAUUAUAACAGUUAUGUCUAAACUUGAGAGAGAACUUCAAAUUUGCAAAUUAGGCAGAGCAACUAUUUAUCAUAUCCAUGCUAGAGUUUUAUUAUUAAGAUUCAGAUUAGCAUAGCCACUUUAUUUAUUUAUUAAACACACUAAGCAAAAGAUAUAUAUAUAAGCACAAAAUCUUUAUUUGGUUUUUCAUAGUUUAUGUAUUUUAAUAUUCUAAUAUAAUAUAAGUAUAAAGAUAAGUAGAAAUACUUAGCGAGAUAAAUGGGAGUGCUCUCCCCCAAGCUGAAUUUUGACGUAAUUUCUCUUGAUGUAGCUAGCAGGUGGCAGAGGUGUAUUUGAAAGUCAGCAGCAUUCUGACAGCGAUUAGAAUGUCCUCCGUCUGCUAGUCUUCUUGAUUCUUAAAUUCUGUGGAGCUCAAAUAGACAACAAAGCUUGUGGAACUAAUUAAGUGUUAGCAUAAAUAUCUAGCCUUCAUCACGUUGAGCUUCCUCAAUAAAUAUUACUCCCUGUUUUUAUAUUUUUAUUUUAUAAAGUAGAAAAGAAAUAUUUAUUUUAUUUUUAUGCCACCACAGUGAAGGUACUUAUGGGUUUUAUGCCACUCGUAAACUCAGAUAGGGCUUAAUAUUUUUUAACAUUUUUAUUUCCUUUUCAAGAUAGCAUGAUUAACUAAUAAUCUAUUUAAGAAAAGUAAAUAAUUAAAUGGAAAAGGGAAUGCAGAAAGGAUAAAUAUGGAUAACUACGAAUCUUACCUUUCGGCGAGGGUUCAAUGUUUUAAGUCUUCUUGUCAAGACUUCUCAUCGUGUUCAUUCUUCAGGUGCGUCAUUUGAUUCAGGUGCGGACCUUGACGUCUGCACCUUUUAAUACGGUGUCACCCAUGUUCUUCGUUUGCCCAGCAGUUCGAAGUGCGGUGUUAGUAGUAUCUUGCUCAGUGUGUUUGUGCUCGUAGUGUACCUGCUCAUAGAGACAAGGCAGAGAUCAAGUGCAUGGGCCCUGUUGGUGGAAAACACCAACAGAACCAAAAGUGUAUUUGUUCUUUUCUAACCUUAAGCAUAGUGAGCAAGACAAGUUGAUGGAUGAUAAGUUCAUGAGUGUAGCACUUAUAACAUUUGUCAGAUCAGAUCGCUCAACCUUAUGGAAAGAUAAUCUAUCUAUGUAUAUGUCUUUUUCUUUAUAUCUCUCAAUGAUUGAAUGUGUAACAUUUUAGCUCAUAUGAUUAGGAGUGUGGGAUCAUGGAGGUAGUACUAAGAACAAGGAUUAAAGGACUAAACAUGUUGAAUCAGUUGGGUUGGUUAAUCUAGAGUUGUAAAUCAUACACGUUUGUCUCUUUUAUUUAUAUGAACGCCAGAACCAAAGAGAAGCUUAUAGAAGUGAUAGUCAAGUACCUUAAGAUGUUACCUUGCUCGAAGAGUGAUGGUACAGUAUCAUCUUGUGGAAGCUUUCCUUUCUUAGCAGUUGUGCGUCGUGUUUGUGGCACCCUCCAUGGAUCAUCUCUCUAUGAUGAAUGAGCUAUGUCCUUUUUGUGCAAAUUGUUAAACUUCAUGUGUCACUCUCUUCGUCUCUGAUGUGAGUUUAUCUCAGGACUUCCCAAAUUGAUAUUGAAAGUUUUUCUGCAGGGGUUAGUCCGACAAAAUAUACCAAUAUCUACUCAAGCAGUUUUUUUAGUUCAAUAACCAAACUAGACUCCAUGUCUAAUCAGAUUAAGGAAGGCUAUUUAACCUAAGCACUAUGCUUAAUUUAAAUUCCAAUGGAAGUAUGGCGAGUACUUCCAAACCAACACUUGCUAGUAAAUAGACAAAGGUAGCAUGAC